CGAUCUCAGAAGUUCGCUUUUUGGCUGAAGAUGAGUGUUUUUCAAUCCCAUCUUCAACUGGUUUUUUAGCCUUUUCAGUUUCAGGUCCCUUCCUCUUUUUCCCUGCGAAUACUUCAUCAAUCUCAGAAGUAGGUUUUUUGGCCGAAGAUGAGGCUUUUUCCUCUUCUACAGUAGAUGUAUUAUCUUGCAUCUCUCUGGGAGUUUUUGAUUUACUCUUUUUGCCCAUCUUAUGGAUCCAAAAGCUGCAUGUCAUCCAGAUUACAUUACUGAGAAUUGACAGAACAGAGAUUUAAAAAGAAAAAAUGGAAUGGAAACUUUCCAUCCAAGAACAGAUUACUCAAAAACUGGAGCCCCUGGAGGCAACAACUCCUUUUGGGUCAACUUGCCAGACUAACUCAGUUUGUAAACAAUCAAAACAACAGAAGGAACAUGAAACUGGAAAUUUAGGUUACAGGAUAUCUGCUCCUCAUUAGCUUCCUAGCAACCAAACAUAACACAAACGAAAAACAGAAAAUGGAAAAUACUGAUUUCAAUUGCAAUUUCUCAGCUUGUAGGCUUUCAAUUUUCAUAGAGACGAAUUUCUGUGAAACAUGGACUUGAUCAAAAGAAAUAGCCCAAUAAUUAUUACAAAAGCUCCAAUUUUGAGAACUCGACAACAUGUUCAGUGCUAUCGAAAAUUUGAUAAAUUUCAAACAAAUGCACUGUAAGUCACAGAAACAAACACAGGAUAGUAAAGAAAGAACGCACAGAAAAAUAAAAAAGAGUUCGAGUUGUUGGGAAGCGCUAACCUUUAGGUUGUUGAUAAACAGCGAGAAAGAGUGAGUCGCUAAAACACUAUCUUGAUGAAUCUGCAGAGAUACCAGCGAGCUUUGUUGCAGAGUUGCGAGCAACGAAGUAUAAAACCAUUUAUUUGUUUUUUGUUUCUGGCGAGCUUUUUAGCUAAAACCCUAGCUUGAUGUGGGAUAUAAUUCGUUCCCACGAUUUAUGAUUUAAAAAUAAUUUGGGUUUUGCAAUUAAAUUAGCCCAAUAAUAAUAAUCCCAUAGCCAAUCGGGUUUUGAUGGAAAAUGACAUUGACUUACAGUGUGUUUGGAUGAGGAAAUUUAAAAAUACAAAGAAUUUCAUAAAUGACGGAAUUUAAUGUUCUAGAAUUUACAAAGUUUCUUGUUUUGGUAAUGGAUUUAAAAUACGGAAUUUAACCUUUAUUUGUAAAGUUGUCUUUUUUAAAAACUCAAUCUCUCUUGUAAUUUUAAAAAUGACGACUUUUAGAUAGAAUUUAAAGUUGGGAUUUAUGAUCUCCAAAUUCUUUUUUUUUUUUCCCACGCUGAAUUUCUAAAUUUAUAUAUAUUUUUAUCCAAACACGAGAAUUGGUUCAUGGCAAUUUAGAAAUUCUAAAUUUUGUCAAAAUCCUAAGUUUAUUUUCCUCAUCCAAACGCACCGUUACAGAUAAAUAGCAAAUCAAUGGUCUCAUGUUCGAACCUUCGUGGCACCUUGAUAGUGUGUGUGAAAAACCUCACCCCUCUUGUAGUCGAGACUAUCACUUGUAUUCAAUAAUAAUAAUCCCAUAUGAAAAGGAGUUAAUUAUUUAAUAAAUGAAUCAUUUGGAUUAAUUUGGACAAUAUCUUAUUUGAACGAUUCUAUCAAAUUCCAAUCCAUUUUGUACAAAAUAAUAAGCUAAUCCAGCUCAACAUUCCAAUGGAAAAGGAAGAGAAUGGCUGGCUUUUUUUUUUUUUUGGGGGUUUGAGAAUGGCUGGCUUUAAUUUUAAGAGUAGCAUUGUGCAACCCAUAAAAAAGAAAGUCAAAGAAACAUAGCACAGGAAGAGGAGCCACAGCAAAUAAAAGGAUUGUGAUGUGACAACAAUUCAAGUAAUUUCCUUGGUGUUUAUAUUAUCGAUAUACAAAGAGUGUUCCAUUCUUAAGAAGCACAGCAGGUCAUAGUUAGCAUAACUUGUUCAUUUCAGCCUUUGAACUGCUAGCAUGGCUUGAGUUUCCUCAUUCCACAUGUGAAAAACCCCCACCUUCAGCCUUUGUCCUGCAAACAAGCACACAAUUGACAAACAACAAAACCACAUACAUCAGUUCUUUUCUCCACUGGUAAAUAGUCUCAAAUUCUUUCGACAAGACAUGAAACUCUACAUUUUUUUUACUGAUAAACCCACAAAAAGUAACCCACAUUUCUUUGAAAAAGACCAAAUUUUCCGUUCCUCAAGGAUAACGAAAGCUUACUUGUGAUCGGAAGGAUUUGGCCUGAGUUCAUAAACAAUUGUUGCAACAACAUCCCUCUUCAACUGUUCAUCAAAGAAAAGAAAAUGAUGUAUUAGUUAUUUGCACAAUUAACGCAACAGAAUAUGCUCAUAUGGAAUGAAAUUACCUGAGUAGCCUCGCCUUUAAAGCCAAUGUACUCUAUCUUAGUUGUAUCACCACCAAAACUAUCAGGAAAAUGCAAUGUGAUGCUGGCCACGUUUUGAAACUUGGAAUACCUAAUUAUACGGAGAAAUGUUACAUUAGAGGGAUAACAGAUGGUAAAAUAAAAAUCAAACAAAACAAAAAACAACAAAAGAACUCAUUUCAGUGGCAAUUCAAAGUAAUUUACCGUCACUGUUCAAUUUGAAAAAGAAUAAGGUUUCUUUCAUUGUGCUCAAGUUUUAUAGUUUUCAUGUUCUAGAAAAUUAAACAACAUGGUUUUUGAAGUAGUAGUACUCCAAAAGGCAGUGAAUAAAUACCUUGUCUGGUACUCCAACACUCCUUGAAAAUUUUCGACCAAAUCCCACUCCUUAAAACAAUAAGAACACAUGUUUCAAGGCUGAAACGUUGAAUUUUUUCAAUUAACUCUUGAACAAGCUAAUAUGAAAGCAAUACCUGAAUGGCUUGCAUUCCUUGAACAUCUGAAAAGUCAAUGCCAUCUCGGUUGAUGAACCUAAUUAAGCAAUGCAGUCAUGUUUUUAGUUUUUUCAAAUAUAAAAAAUGUGAUCGAUAUUGAACAUCUGUCAAAGACUGAUUUGAUAUUUAUUUUGUCAGAAUCAUAUAGAACAAGACUCGUGAUCAGUACUAUUAAAGUUUGAACUUACACCCUCAUCUUGCUAGGACUUGUUCCGUCAGCACCGCCAAUAAUUGAUAUGCUCUUGAUCUUGACAUCUGAUGUAAAUCUAUCACAAAUAAAUGAAAAAAAUAUAGCUCAAUCAGAAUGUAAAGAAACAACAUCAAAGAUGACUUCAUCUAAUAAGUUGGUGUCAGAAUGGUAUGCUUUAAGAAAACUUAUCAAGAUGCCGACCAAAUGUUUGAACAAUAAAUACAACUAUAUUAAGCAUCAGAUAUAGGAGAUGAGCACAAGACAAAAGGAUAAUUAUAAAUGACACACAAAUUAACAGUUGUGUUUUGCUUUAGGUGUACCUGGAGAUGCUACUAAGGUUGAAUCCCUUACUCAAAACUCAUACAAACCCAACUAUGGAGAUCUAACAAAAUCAGACACAUAUUAUCAUUGUAAUUGAAUGAAAAGAUGGAAAAAUGUGUAAAAGUACUCAACCAAUGGAUCUACCUGAUCCCAUGCAUUUCGUAAUUAUGCAGUCUAUAACUCAUUUCAUGAAGAUAUCACAUAAAACAACAAGACGGGACACUCACGGAAUGUAAACAAGUAACUCGGGAUCACCCUCAUUGCUCUCCAAGUGUUCCUGUUGCAGAAAGUAGAAUCAAAAUGAGGCUUCAUAUGCCUAGUAAUUGAACAUAAAUUACAACCAAAAUAUAAGGUAAACCUGAACUAAAUCUCAAUCAAUGAUUCCUACAAAUUUUCGUAAAUGUCAUUCUGAGCUUUCAAGUAGAUUAACUUAUGAAGUUUGGAUCAUUACUUUUAACAAGGACGUAUAGAGAAGUAAAUAGAUAGCUCAUUACCCCAGUAGAAUUCAGCCGUUGCUCCCAAGCUUUAAAAACCGACUUGACACUUCCUGGAACCGCCUCAUUCAAAGCCGAAACCUAAAAACAGAAUAAGACAUUCUCUCAAGGAGAACACGUCAUCAUGUCAAUCAGCAAGAGGAAGCUCCAACGAAAUAUUAAUUUACAAAAUAACAAAGUGUGAAAAUAUUGCAAAGUAUAAAUCACCCCACAUCAACAAUCAUCAAUUACCAGUCAUAUAGCCACCCACAACCAAACUGCCCAAACCACAACACACAAGCACCCGUCUCCCAAAAAAAAAAAAAAAAAAGUUUCUAAACAUUUCUGGAAACUAGCAAUAACAGCAUCUGCAUGGAGUAUCAUUAACAAAGCUUCAUAUCCAACUAUUUUCAUUUACAACCAAGAAGCCUACACAUAAGAACCAUUAUGCUUACGGAUAAAUGCUUAUGAGAUUCAGCAUUUGAGCUUGAGGGUUUAUGUUGAUCACUGUUCUUUCAACUAAUUUUCAUUUGGGCACUUCCAGAUAAAACCAAAACAAUCACAAAAUGGGAGCAGACUGAAACGUACCAGUAUACGCAGAGCAGCAGUGUGAUAGCUAACAACGAAAACAUAGGAAUAGAAAAAUUAAGACUGAGCAAAGAAAAAGGCAGAGAAAUAGGACCUUGGGGAGGUCUAUAUGCUUGUAGAGAGACCAAUCAGAAGAACAAUCAUGCUCUUCGCAGCUGUGGUCAUGUAAGCAAGCCAUCUCUCUCUUUCCCUGGAUCACCAAAUUUCUAAGAAGCAGCACAAAAAGGCGAAGAAGAAAUAGAAGCAACCAGAAAUAGGGAGCGAACCGUGGCUUUUUCUGUGCAUAGUGCCGAAAAGGCCCUUGUAUCGGUACAAUAAAACGCACCGUUUACCUGUACAUAUAUGUCCUUUUAGGCUUUUACUGUGAAAUGCAAACGAGACUGUUUUCGCAAAACUUUCUUCUUUGCUUUCAUUUGGGAAGUUCAGCUCUGAGCUCUGUGAGAGAUGGAGGAAAUAGUAGAAGGGGACGGGUCGGGUGCGGGCAGAUACACGCUGAGACCAACGAGGCUAAGCAACGAGGACAUUCUGUUCUGUAUAGAUGUUGACCCAGAGUCUAUGGUGGAGAUGAAAGCCGCGAUGGGCCCAAAUGGGCGACCUUUAACCCGCUUGGACUCGAUCAAGCAAGCCAUACUUGUCUUCAUCAACGCCAAGCUCACCAUCAACCCAGAGCACCGAUUCGCCUUUGCCUGUCUCGGAAAGUCCGCGUCUUGGGUAGGUUCUCUCUGUUCAUCUCUCUCUUUAUUGCUUGGUUUCUGUUCGGUUUCCGAGAAAAUUUGCGAUCAAGGGCAGAGGAUUUUAUGGUUAUUAUGUGUUUUUUAGGAAUUGAACUCCUGGAAACCAUGAUUAUGGCUUUGGGUCAUAGUUUUGAGGUUUUUUGUGAUAUAUACGGUUAUGGGUAGAUUAAAAUUUUCAUUUGCAGGAAAUGUAAGCAAUUGCGUGCCAUGAAUUUGGUUUCUGGAUGAAUCAAUGAAGGAAAAUUAGUUUAAAUCACUAUUUUCAAGUAGCCCAUUGUACAGAGUCUCACCAAGUCAAAAACGUUUUGAUAGCAUGAAAGAGUUUAGACAGAAGUGUGAAACCCACGAUACAAUAUGGGGUUGCUGUGCAUGUAUAUUUAUAAGAAGUACUACGUCGGUAAACAAGAUUUGGAUAUGAACACUACUACUGAGGAGGCUUAUCAGAGAAUACUAAUGAUGAACCCUUGAAAUAAAAUACAUGAUAAAUAUAAACAGAUAAACACGUGAGGAAACUAAGCAGGUAGCACUUCUAUCAGUUUUCCUUUGAUUAAGCUUUGGUCACUUUUAUUGAAUGCGGGUGAGAAAUCAAUUCCUUUACUAUCUGUUAAGGAGAUUUCGGAUCUUGAUCAUAGUUUCAAAGUGUACUUUCCAAGAAUCAUCCGCAUACCUUGAUCAUUUUUGGUCCUAGACUUAUUUUAUGGGGUGCAGUACCAAGAAUCGUUCACAUACCUUGCUGUAGGGUUGAGUUUUGAUGCAUGAUAUGCAUAAUUAUCAUGCAAAUACCCCAUUAGUAGUAAAUAUUUAUGCAGUGUAAGCAAACCUUCUGCAGGUCUUUGUUCAAAACACUCAAUUUAUCCUUUGUGUCUGUUUGUUUGAUUUAUGUUUCUGUAAUUGAUUUGGAACCUUUUGUUUUUCGUUUUUAUGAAGCUUCGGAAAGAGUUUAGCAGUGAAGUCGAUUCUGCUAUUGCUGCAUUUCGAGUACUCUCAGCUACUUCAUCUUCUAGUAAUGCAGAUCUUACCAGUCUAUUUCGAGUAGCAGCUCAUGAAGCAAAGAAAUCUCGUGCUCAAAACAGACUUUUAAGGGUGGUAAGCAAUGGUUGGCUUAACUUUUCAUGCAAUUACAUUGGUUAAUUAUUACAUCCGUGCCAUUGUGAUAUUCCAUCUUAUCCCUUCCAUGAUGUUGAAAUUUUUGUGUGUUGAUUGCUAAAGGCUGACAUGCUUGCCCUUAGAUUCUUAUUUACUGUAGAUCAUCUGUAAGACCAAAUCAUCAAUGGCCUGUGAACCAGAAACUCUUCACUCUGGAUGUAGUUUACCUUCACGACAAGCCUGGACCUGAAAACUGCCCUCAAGAGGUCUAUGAUUCACUUGUGGAUGCCCUGGAACUUGUUAGCGAAUAUGAGGGCUACAUCUUGGAGAGCGGUCAGGGAUUAACUCGAGUUCUCUUCCGUUACAUGUGCAUGCUGCUAUCACACCCUCAGCAGCGUUGCCCACAAGACCAUCUGGACAUACCUAAGCCUCUUGCGAAAAAGUUGCCGGCAGCAGAUUCAACGACUACUGAUGAUAGUAUUAUAACUGUGUCCGGCAUAUCAGAAGUUCAGAACAUUAGAAAUUAAUUUUACUGAGGUCAUUUUGCUUCUAAAAGUCUCAUAUGUAUGUAGUUUGUCUGAUGUUGAUGUAAACCUCUUGUUGAGUGAGAAUGAGUAGCCGAUUUGAUCUUGGUCCUAUCUGUCUGUACAAAUUGUGAAUGUUAUGAAUCCCAAUGUUUAUUUUAACCUAUCUGUCGAAGAAUUUUUUAUGACAUUCAAGAUCACGUAAAAUAUAGCAAAAGCAAGAAGUUCUUAGUACUAGUUUGUAUGUGUAUCCCCAUUAAUAUGAAGAGGGAGGUGGGAGCUGGCUUGCUACGCCGCGUCACACGGCACGCGGCAGCUAGGCAUAUUAGACGUCGAAGGAUUCUGGCAUUAAAUGUUAAGCAUUUAUAAACUUUGCCAAGGCUCAAAUUCUCCCAUAAGCAGCCUAAAAUGAGGAUGUUGUAAGUUGAAUUUUGCUACAUAGAACUACAUUCUCGGAAAACAGCUUAGUUGCCACUUUGCCAGUCACAUCACGAGACAUGUGUCGAAAUCUCCCCCGCUCGAAAAAAUAAAAAAUAAAUAAAACAAAAAAAAAAGGUAAGCCUUCCUCAAAGUCUAACGCUACUAGAUUGAAAGGUGAAAAAACUUGAUUGCAUAAGUAUACUACCCAUUGGUAUUGAUGAAAGACUUAUGAGGUUUGAAAUUAAAUCUUUCAAGUUCCCCGCAGAACCCUGCCUUGCCCUUUGGAGUGAGGCUAAGGUUUUCUUCUCUUAUUAAAAAAACCAAUCGACUAUUAUUUGCAUUCCCACAAAACCGUAUGACUCAUUGCUUCCAAUGGUGAGGUCAACAUAUUGGUAAUCAGAAAGAAAAAAAAAAUGCAGAGCUCGAAAAGUUGAAAUGAUAACCAAAAUCCCUCAUCCAUAUAAUUUUUUUUAAGUAGAAGUCAACUUGGAGGGAUGAUCUUAAUCACACAAAUUGUCUGUGACAUCUCUAGAAUUAGUUUUAGUAAUGAAAUAAAUCGUUUAACUCUUUCGCUCAAGAAAUCUGCCGGCAUGACGUGUCGCUUGUGCGUUCCUUGUCCACUUGUGCAUGCUUAUAUAUUGCUUGCACGAGUACAAAGAAAAACUCCAGUUUGAAAAACUUUUUAUACUAAAAAUAAACCCUAAGCAUUAUUAAAUUUGUAUUGUUUUUAAAGUUUGACCAACUGUUUUGAUCUUUUUUUCAUGAACUUGUCCAAGCCGUUCUGGCGCUCUUUAACUAUUAUUAGUCUUAAUAAUCUAUUUCUAAUUGUCAUGAGUCAUGACCAAUCUCCCUUCUCUGUAAAGUGCAUCAAGUUGGUCAUGUCAACUCAUUCUUUUCUUUUUACAAGUGAUGGUGGGGAUAACUAGGUUAACACUUAAAAUUGCUUCCAUCUUCACCUACUUGAAUGACAGAAGAACAUGGGCUCGUGCCUUGUGGGUCACUUAUCUUAUCUUAUUUAACUUUUUUUUAUUGCUUUUAGGUGAAUCGACUGCACAAUCUUAAAUGCAUGAAUGAAUGCUUUAAACUAUUUAAAUUACGAGCUCUUUAUUGUGUUCCUUAGACAGAAGUUAAAACCAUCAUGAUUUGCUGGUUUUGAGUUGGUUAAUUAGUGUUUACAUGGUGUGAAUGUAAAAGUAAAUGGUAAAUGGCUUACAUAGCAAGUUAGUUAUAUAUAAGUUAAAGAAGACACCUCUCAAGUGGUAUGCGAAUCUUGGGGUGGCAUAAAAUAAUUGAGAAUUUAUUUAAAUAUAGUCAAAUUAUUGAAGCUCCUUCAGCUCUCUGUGGAGCCACUUUAAUUUGCUCCAAUAGAUGAUCAUUUUGCUAACAUGUGCCCUUUAUAUUCAUGAUUAAAGAGAAGAGGACUUCAAAUGAACUUUGGACUAUAGGAGAUAGAUAGGAGGAGGAGGAGGAGGAGGAGAUAAAGGAAAAAUCCAUUUCCAGUUUUAAUGGGACUCUGCAUAUCUUCUUCAGCUCACAAAAUUCAGGAUGGCCAUGAAGCUCCAAUGUCCUUUGAAAGGACUGACGAUUCUAAUGGAAUUCAGAUGCACGGUUCCCUUUAUUCUUUGGAAGGAAGCAAAGGAGUAAACCAAGAUAGUGCCAUUCUUUACCAGGUUUGUGAAUAUUUCUUUCCCCUUUAUUAUAUGGAAGGAAGCAAAGGAAUUGUUCUGUGUGUUUCUCUAGCUGCUCAUUUCAAAACCAUAUUGUUUGUUUUUCGCUUUGUCUAUACAUAAAUAUAUAGAAUGGCAAGGCUUGUUUUCUUAGAAAAUCAUCAGCAAUUUCGUUUCAAAAGCAUUCAUGCAAAGCAUGUUGCAUAAUCGGGUUUCAUAUUAUUUUACUAGGCUUCUGAAAGUCUGUUGAUUAUAGCUUUAACCUCUUCUUAUUUUUCUUGUCUUUUCAAUAGGGCUAUGGAUUGGAAGCUGAAGCUUUCUGUGGAGUUUUCGAUGGACAUGGAAGAUUCGGGCACCGAGUGAGUCAGCUGGUGAGAAGCAACCUGCCAUCACUCUUACAAGGCCAGAUGAAAGCUCUUGAUCAACAAGCCAUUGCAGUAGCAGAGGAUGAUGAUUCGAAAAAUCACAUUGACAGAAUAGAAACCGAGUCAGAAGAUUCAGAACCAAGCAAGAAAUUUCACAAAUGGAAAGAAGCCUUUGUUAGCUCCUUCAAAGUCAUGGACAAGGAGAUUAAGCUUCAAGAAAAUCUGGACAGCUCUUGUAGUGGAACCACUGCUGUUGUUGUCAUAAAACAGGUGAGAAAAACUACACAUGAUCAUUGAACAAAUUAUUUAUCUUUCUUUAUUUCUUUGUGUUCGGCUUUAAUUCAAGAAUCAAACAGGGUGAGGAUCUUUUUAUAGCUAAUCUGGGUGACUCAAGGGCAGUCCUAGGAACCACUAGAGAGAAUGGAAUUGAGGCCAUUCAAUUGACCACUGAUCUAAAGCCUGCUUUACCUAGUAAGAAGUUCAUCAUUUUUUUCCAUUUUUUUCCUCUUGUUUAAUUUGAAGUGAUUAUCUGACAGGUGAUCGUUUUUAAUGCAGGUGAAGCAGAACGAAUAAGGGCGUGUGAUGGUCGAGUGGUUGCACUAAAGCAAGAACCUAACAUCCAAAGAGUGUGGUUGCCUCAUAUUGACCUCCCAGGCCUAGCCAUGUCCUGAGCUUUCGGAGACUUCAUACUCAAGGACCAUGGCAUCAUUGCCACCCCUGACGUCUCCUAUCGCCGCCUGACUUCCAAAGAUCGAUUUGUCGUUCUUGCAACGGAUGGGGUAAGCCCUAUUGGAAAUGAAAUGUGUACUUGUUAAGAGUUUUAGCGUUGCCAAAGAAAAAAGGGCACAGUUGCUUUCCUAUGAAUGGCAUUUUAACCACAAUGAUGCGUUUUGUUCUUGGGCUUGGUAUUUAGGUUUGGGAUGUGCUCAGCAACCUUGAAGUUGCAUCCAUUGUGUGGGAAGCUGAUAGUGCACAAGCAGCGGCAAAGGCGGUGACGGAGACUGCGGUGGCCACAUGGAGAAGGAAGUUCCCUUCUGCUAAGAUAGAUGACUGCACUGUGGUUUGCUUGUUUUUGCAAGACAAACUACAUGAUCAUGUUGUGCCUGUAAAGAUAUGAGCUUUUGAGCAAUGCUUGUUGCUUUGUGAUCUUUUUUUAUCUUCAUACAUUUUAACACGACACUAUACUUUUUCAAUUUCUGAUAAGCUAUACUUUUUCAAUUUCUGAUAAGCUACCCGUCCAAUUAUGUACAUAAGCCCACAGGUUCCAUUUUUGGUUAAGACAACAGUUGCUUUCAAGAAUAAAUUUUUGGUCAAAUCAUCCGCCAGUAAAUGAAAUCUUUCAAAACCAAACAGAACCAUUGGCAACCUUCAAAAUGCUCAGUAAAUUUUCAAAAUGUCCACGAAUAAACAAUGAUGUUUUGAUUUGUUUUCUCCAGGCAAUUCUAGAAAGACAUCACAGGGCUAGAAAUUCAUGAACAUAAAUAUAAUAAGACUUGACAUAGUGGCAAAAGGCAUUCUUGAAAUUUCAUUGAAAUGCUUUUAAUCACAAUAGGAUAAGGCCGAUAAACUUCAGUUAAACUCUUUAAUAGGGGAAAAGAAUUAUGUUGCCUCCAGGCAAACGAAACAAAAGAGAACUUUCUGCAUAUAAAAACCCCAUUUGUGAGUAAACUCAAUGCCUACCAUCUGGAUGAAAAAAUAGAAACAGAAGAUCCCGGGCGAAUAUAAAUCCAUUUCCUCUAAUAUUCAAGUGCAUCAUCUUUGGGCGCCUCUCCAAGCAGGUCAUCAUCAUAUGAAACAGGUACCCUUAACCUAUCAUGAACAGAAAGUUGUUUCCCUUCAGUAUUUGACUGAAUGCCUUGAGUUUGCAUUUGACAAAUAACCGGUACGGCAUCUGAAAUAUUAGCUGGAGUAUCAUCCUUGAAUGAAUUCACAAUUGCUUUAGAUGAACCUUCUUUCCCUUGCUGUAUUGGUUGUCUAUUAUUUGUUGACCUGAAUUGCUUCUGCAUGGAGAUAGAAAACAUAAAAAGUAAUCAACGAUGCUGUAGUUUUACACUUUUUCUAAUAAAAGUGAUAUUUAAUUGACGUUUGGGAAAUAACAUCAGAAACAACACUAUGAAUCUAUGAUCCACUACUGCGCACCUCAAAUUCCCUUCCUUUUUUCAUUAUCUCUUUGUAGGCCUUUGGUUCUCGUGCUUUGAUGAUACUCCAUAGUACUCCACCACCAAAUCGGAAACGUUUGCCAUCAUGAGUCAUCUGACCUCCACAAGCCUGGAUCGCAUCCACCUGAAAUUUUUCAUCAUUUCACAAAUGAUAUCCUAGAUACACCAUGGUUUCUAGCAGGGAAAAAGUAUCCAUUCUCCUGAUACUGGAUUCCAUCCGGACUACAAAUAACUAAUAUACGAGAAACAUAGAAACACUUGUAACAACCACAUUUAAUAAAAUUCAGAAAUUACUUAACUAAGGAUAUCGUUCCCUACAAUCAAAGUAAGCUCAAAGAUGUUCAUAAUCACAAAAGUUUCUGUAAACCAUCUCCGGAUAGAGCUUAUGGUUCCUGGGGGAGGAGCAAACAUGAAUGAUGAGCUUUUUGGAGCAAAAAUAGAUGUGUAUUGCUUUGUUACGCGUAUCUAUUAGAGUACUCUUACAUGUGUUUUGCAUGCAUAUUGGCUAAUGCAACUCCAAGAAAAAAUGAUAUCAACCUACACAAAUAGCAUAUGAUGAAGUGGUUCAUCCAGGGGACAUCACAGCUCAGAGCACAAGAUUGAAAGGAGUAAAAUGGCUUCUGCAAGAGAAAUCUGCAAGGGUAGGGAAACAAUAUUGAGGAUCAGAAAUUAUGCAAGGCUGCGUGGCCAAAUAGUGUGCAUAAGCAUCGGCAGCUCUAAGCUGGUCCAAAAUUAAGCAACCCAGAAUCUCACCUUCCCUUGCAAAAGGCCAGUCGAAUCAUUCAAGUCCACUCUCAACAAAGGAUACCCUGCCUUCCCCUUGAAGCUAUAAUGUGAAGGGAACUUAAAAAGGGACAGAUGGCUCAGAAGGUAAAGACAACCUUAAAAGUACCCCAUAAAGCAUAACCAUCCUCCCAAUAACAGGACCCCCAAUUAGCAAAAAAACCAGCGUGUUCAAGAAUCUAUAGAACAGAAUUGGCACAGACAAUAUGAUAGGUGAUUUUUAAUUGACAUCACUGAAACCCAGCUCUGAGUGCAAAUCCCAUGUUCUGAACAUGAGCAGCAAGGUCGGAUCAUCUUAAAGCUAGAUGUGAAGCGGAGUCAAGGCAACCUUAAGAAGUACCCAUAAAGCACGCCCAGACACAACCCAUUCACCCAAUAACAGGAUUACCAUUAGCAGAAAGACCAAGAGUGCUCAAGCAGGUACAUAAUAGAAUUACUUUGAACAAUAUAAUAGAUGAUUUCAAUUGAGAAUAUCACUGAAAACUCCACUGAAAGGUAUUGGGCACAAAGCACAUGUUCUUAAACUGACAGCAAGGUCGGAUCAUCUAAAAAUGCACAUUAAUGCAGAUAAACAUGUACCAAAUUUACAACCAGUUGCUAAUGGCGUCUGUCAAGGAGAUUUUCAGAAGACAAUUACAAAACAUAAUGCAAUGCACACGUAGUUGCGUAUAAAAGAUAAAGAAAACAAUCCCCAAGUUAUAUAAUUUGCUUUGUCACAGCAUUUCCACAAAAGCACACAACGAAGGGCAGCAUACCUCUUUGACGAGAUCAUUCAAUGCAAGAACACCCAGACAACCAACAGCAGUAUAUACCAGAUAUGAUUUCUUCUCUUUCAGUCGCCUACAUGUAUCCAUCACAAACCUGAAAAAGACAUAACAUUAAAAGAAUGUAAAAACCCACAAGAGAGCUCCAAAUUCCUUUUGAAUAUAUGUAAUUUCUUUCGUUCUUAAUCGGGCAGGGCAUAACCUGUCUAUGUCAGUGACAUUAAUUCCAGGGCCACUGUUCCUUCUCCUAUUCCUCUUCUUCUUACCCCUGCGCUUCUGAUUCUUGCCCUGACGUUCUUGGUUUGCUACACUGACAUUGCCACCACUGAUCUGUCCCGAACCAUUUUGUGAGUUAAAAUCCACAAGCUCCCCUUCUUCCACAAGCUCUCCUUCUUCCACAUCAAGCAUCUCAACAUCUUCGCCAUCUUCAAAGUUAUCGUCUUCAAAUACUGCGUCUAGUAUGUUGUGUUCUCCUUCCAUAUAAGGUUUUCUUCAAUGGGGGGAAAAAACGCACCACAAAAUUUAUAAGCACCUACAGAGCAGAAAGCAGGAAGAAAACACGCAGAUUUCCACAGACGAGACAAAAACUGCAAACUCGUGCAAAUUUUCUCUAUGGCAAAUCACCAAACAGAUUAUGCGAGCCCUAACCAGAAAAAAUCACAAGUACAACGAAAACAAAAAAAAAAACGUAAAUAAAUAUUUUUUUUAAAAACCGAUGUACGAACCCUAACAAUGCAAAAACAAACACAGCAAUUCAAAGCUUAUGGAAUUUUCCAAUUAGAGUGCUCUGCUUAAGGACGAUGAAGCAUAACCGCGGCUUUUGGCGUUUGGUUGAUCAGAGGACUGCGUUUCGCUGGUAUGGUCUUUAUAGUGAAGCCUAGAUGAGCGCUGGCGGUAAUCAGUAAUGGCUUGUUUGGCUGCGUGGCAAACGAUGAUAUUAAUCCGGAUUGGGUUAUAGGUGGAAAGGCCCAACCCAAGGACGCUUUGCUUAUCUGUACUGAGCGAGCCCAAAAUGGCUGAAACUUAGUCCAUCCCCAAUCUAUUAGUGAUAUUUUAUGAUUUGUUUUUGUUGAAUACGUAAUUGUUAGUAGGUUAUCUGUCGACGUUUGAUUUCUUUUCAAUAGUGGGCCAUACGUCAUUGGCCAAUCCGUACGAGUCCACAACAAAACUGAGUUGAUGUGGAUUGUUGAGUGUGAAAUUUUGAGGAGUAAGUUUUGGGUGAAAAGCUCGGACCACGUAAUCUAUCUGUCCAACUGUUUUCAUAAGAGGGUAUAAAUUUUAUUGAGCGCCUGUCGGACGGAUGACAUGGUUUUAGAGCAAAGCCAAGCCCAACCUCAUAUUCAGACACCAUUGAUUGGAACGGGUAUGAAGUGGAAAUACAGGCCUUCCUUUAUCUUGUUCAGCAAGCAAUGGUGCAUUUUUGUCCUGUAAUUCAUAAAUCUAAUAGAUGCCCUUUGUCUGCAUCAUCACUUUUGUUGUAUUCUUUAAAUUAUACCUACCUUGUUUUCUACCUAUUCAAACGAGGGGAAGGUGGGCAUGAUUGGUACCAAAGUUUCAACCUAACGUUCUUCAACAUCUAGUAGCUUUUAUAUUAUAAAGUUAAAAGAAGAAAAAUACAAAAAGAAAACUCAUUAGAGCUUCCAGCUCUUGUUUUGAAUGAUGAUAGAUUAAGUCUGAUGUUGGGUUGAAAUAUUCUUUAUUAUGGCUAACUUAGCAUUGAUGUGCUAUGAAAAUAUACGCUGUUAGAUUUAUUGUGAGAAAAAUCAACAGUGAGAUAAAACAAUUUGGUGUUUGAUAAAAAAACAAAAGGGUCCCCACUUGCUCUAACAACAAAAAAACUAAAAAUCUUGCAAGUUAACUAAAGAAACUGUAUUCUUUAAUAAAUGAAAUUUCCCGUUAUUAUCUAUAUAUAUAAAGCAAAAGGCAGAGAAUGGUGAAACAUUCAAAAUACCAGAAAAUACCCUUGGUUAAUGCAAAUAUUAAGAAUUGAAAUUAUUAAUUAAAUGAGGAUAAUAUGGUAAAUUCACAAUUUUUCGUAUUAAAAAAAUUAAAAUUAAAAGAAAAUUCAGAUAAUGGAUCCUAUUUUUAUGGAACACAAAUAUCCAUUAUCUUUUUUAAUUCUAAAAUAAAUUUAAAUUUUUUUAAAAAAAAACCUCUCGCAUGCGCAGAAGCGCGUGCAGAGAGGCUAGUAUAUAUAAAGCAAAAGGCAGAGAAUGGUGAAACAUUUAAAAUACCAGAAAAUGCCAUUGGUUAAUGCAAACAUUAAGAAUUGAAAUUAUUAAUUAAAUGAGGAUAAUAUGGUAAAUUCAUAAUUUUUCGUAUUAAAAAAAUUAAAAUUAAAAGAAAAUUCAGAUAAUGGAUCCUAUUUUUAUGGAACACAAAUAUCCAUUAUCUUUUUUAAUUCUAAAAUAAAUUUAAAUUUUUUAUAAAAAAAACCUCUCGCAUGCGCGGAAGCGCGUGCAGAGAGGCUAGUACGAAUUACGGGUGAAAAAACCAGUGGAAUUAUACGGCGCCAACACUGUAAUUCCCGCAAUAAUACGGUGCCGACGUGUACGCUCCAGAUUGCACCCCUUUCCAAUUAAAGAGUGAGCUCACUGGGGCCCGCAAUCAAUCAUCCAAGUCGCAUUGAAAAAGAGAACCCACGUGGUCACCAAUAAAUAUCAACUCCUCCUCCGACCUUCGAUCUUUGUGUUAUAUGUCAGCUCCACCAAUCAGAUAUCCUCAUACCAAUUUGACCGGAAACCGCCAUGACUCGGUUGGCUAGCGCCGUCGUCCUGUUGUUCCUUGUCUCCCUCUCCAGUUUCGCUGCCGGUAGCCGGGACCUGAUCGGAGACGUUUUACGGUUACCUUCUGAAGCUUCUAGAUUCUUCGGCAGAGGCGAUGACGGCCCUGAUGAGCAAGACGACGGCACCGUGGGGACCAGAUGGGCUGUUUUGAUCGCUGGCUCAAAUGGAUACUGGAAUUACAGGCAUCAGGUCUUAAUUUUACACGAUAUCAUCUUUCUUAAUUCAGAAAUAUUCUUUUUUGUUAUCAAACUUCAGUUGUUAAUGGAAUUUGAGUUAUAAUUUUGGAUGUUAAUUUCAAUUUUUUUUCCCUUCAUGUUUUUUGAAUUGUUUGAUAUCUGAAUUUGGGUAACCUCAUAUUGGAAAGUUUAUGCUUGUAUAAUCUCGUUUAAAUUUGACUUUCAGCUUAUCCAAUUUCUGAUUCUUUUACCUUGUUGCUUUCGAAUUUGUCAAACUAAAUUUUGGAAGCUUAGAGUUUGUUUUGGAACUAAUAUGAAUUUAGCUCAAGCUUGUGUCUUUCUUAUCUUCCUUGAUCUCAUCUCAUUUUGACUAAGACAGAGUUUUAAAUUUACAUGUGGCUUGAGUUUGUUUUGGAACUCAUAUGCAUUUAGUUCAAGUUCGUUUUAUUAAUUAUUAUAUUCCUUGAUCUCAUCUCAGUUUGAAACUUUGACAUGGAGUACAUGAUCUCAACGUUAACCAUAUUUGUAUAGGAGCUGGAUUUCUGUGUCAGGGGUGAAAUUGAUACUUUUGUUGUGUCUAUAUCUUCAUAUGAAUGUCAAUAAAUAUCUUAUUGGUUUCACAUAUUUGAAAGCUAAGCCACCCUCAUUUCUUGAUUGAUGUUUAACACGGACCUUUUUAUCUUGUUUGUUUAGGCUGAUAUUUGCCAUGCUUAUCAACUACUGAAGAAAGGUGGGCUGAAAGAUGAAAACAUUGUUGUAUUCAUGUAUGAUGAUAUCGCUUAUAACGAAGAGAACCCUAGGCCCGGAGUCAUCAUUAACAGCCCACAUGGUGAUGACGUUUACAAAGGAGUCCCAAAGGUCUGUUAUCUUCCCCUCUAGGUGUUUACCUGCUUCUGAAUUGAUAGUUAUAAUUCCCCUCAUGCGGUCGAUUUUACGGUGGCAGGAUUACACCGGCGAUGAUGUUACUGUUAACAAUUUUUUUGCUGCUAUCCUUGGAAAUAAAACUGCUCUUACAGGGGGUACUGGGAAGGUUGUGGACAGCGGUCCAAACGAUCAUAUUUUCAUUUACUAUUCUGAUCAUGGUGGUCCUGGAGUUCUCGGUUAGUAUCAAUUCUGCACAUGACAAUACUGACAUUAUUUUGCCCACAUCCCCAUAUCUUAUCUACUUACUCUUUCCCUAGGGAUGCCUACCAGUCCAUAUAUUUAUGCUAACGAUCUAAUAGAAGUCCUGAAGAAGAAGCACGCAGCAGGAACCUAUAAAAGCUUGGUAAGUUUCUAGUUGAACUGUAAAUAGAUGCUGCAUAUACCAAUAGAGUUGGACUAAUUCGUAGAACUGCAGGUAUUUUAUCUUGAAGCUUGUGAAUCCGGAAGUAUCUUUGAGGGACUUCUUCCUGAAGGUUUGAAUAUCUUUGCAACUACGGCAUCAAAUGCAGAAGAGAGCAGUUGGGGGACUUACUGUCCAGGAGAGUAUCCUAGUCCUCCCCCGGAGUAUGAAACCUGCUUGGGUGACCUGUAUAGCGUUGCUUGGAUGGAAGACAGGUAUGCAGAAUUAUUUUAUUUUGUUAAAUUUUCAAUAAAGGGGUGGGAAGAAAAGCAGCUUAAUGUUAGCUUCAUUUUGCAUACCCUUGGUAAAUAAUAACAAUUUCAUCUUUCCCUAAAAGUGCAUUACUUCUUGAGUAUUGUCACUUUAAGAUUUGCCUCAAAAUAUGAAGAAUAUAUGAAUUAGGUAGAAGUUUGAAACUGUAUCAUUUCAUGCCAGUUGUUUUUUCUUCUUUAAUUCUUGCACUGGUGGUGUGGGUGUUUGGAUUGUCUUUGCAAGAGCAGUUUCUUUCUCAGGUUGGAGAAUGAAACUGUUCAAAUUAUAAUUUUCAUUUGAGAUUUAACAUUUUGACCUUGUGAACAGUGACAUACACAACUUGAGGUCGGAAACUUUGCACCAACAGUAUGAGCUGGUAAGAAUUCGUCUCUUAACACAUUGUUAUGGAACAGAUAGAGAUUUUUUUUUCUUCUUUUGUACAGGAAAGACCAGCUGUUUAUUAUUGUAUGUUUAAAUAAAAGAGAUUGUCUGUAUUUAGAGAAGUCUUGGGGGUCUAGCCAAGAAAUAUCUAGAUGUGAUCCUGCUAGUUGCUAAUGUCAGUUCUUUGAUUUCAUUAUGAUGGCCCAGGUUAAAACGAGGACAGCAAAUGACAAUUCUGGCUUUGGUUCUCAUGUCAUGCAAUAUGGCGAUGUAGGGCUCAGCAAGGAAAACCUCUUUGUGUAUAUGGGGACAAAUCCUGCAAAUGAUAACUACACUUUUCUGGGCGAGAACUCCUUGAGGCCAUCUACAAAAGCUGUCAACCAGCGGGAUGCUGAUCUUGUCCAUUUCUGGCAUAAGGUUAACUCUUACCUUUUUCAUCCGUGAAUAGUUAUUUUGCCUUUUCUUUUAAAUAUCUAGUCUUAAAAUUUAUGUACUAGUCAUCAUCGGUACUUAUAUUUGGAAGUAUUUCAUACUGUUAGAUAUUAUGAUUGAUUUGAUUAAAAGUCAGGAGAGAUCAGUAAUGAUGAUUGGGGAAUACUCCAUGUUUUCAUUGUUUAAACGGUAACAUAUCAUAAGUACCAUGGAGGUUUUGGAACCAUGCCAUUUGCCCUGCUCUCCUGUGAAGCUCCAAACAAAGCAGUAGAAUAUCUCUGCUUGGAACAAGAAUUUUGAAUACCAAAAAGGGAAUGAAACCAAGGUUUUGAUUAAAUAAAAGCCUUAAUUGUUAUGAAAAUCUAAGGUUCUACUUCUGAAUAUUCUGUGGUUUUGUAACUAUUUCUGUGUGUUAGCUGUCAGCCUGAAGAUCUAAGCCCCUUGUUUUCCCUUCUUUUCUUUUUCUGGAUGCAGUACCGCAAAGCUCCUGAAGGCUCACCAAGGAAAAUUCAAGCUCAAAAGGAUUUUGUUGAAGCAAUGUCUCAUAGAAUGCAUAUGGAUCAAACCAUGAAACUUAUCGGGAAACUCCUGUUUGGAAUCAAGAAAGGUCCAGAAGUGCUCAACACUGUUCGACCUGCUGGGCAGCCACUUGUUGAUGACUGGGACUGCCUUAAGACAAUGGUAGUACUUCUGCUGUUCAUUUUCUCCUUAAUGCUGUUAAAACUUUUCUGAUUCCAUCUUGUUCUGCAUAUAAAACAGAUUUUCACAAAUAAUAUAUGUGGCUGUGCCUGAUGGGUUUGUGUGUGCAGGUGAGGAGUUUUGAGACAUAUUGUGGAUCCCUAUCUCAAUACGGGAUGAAACACAUGCGGUCCCUGGCAAACAUCUGCAACGCCGGAAUGACAAAGGAGCAGAUGACCGAGGCUUCAGCACAAGCCUGCACGAGCGUUCCUUCUAGCCGUUGGAGCUCCCUGCACCGGGGGUUCAGCGCAUGAUUUCAAGAAGAAGAAAAAAUGUGGGAUUUGAAUAACCAAUCCGUGGUCAUCUCUAUAUGCAAAACAUAUCUUAGGAUGCAUUUCGAUUAUUGUUAAUGUUAUUCUGAUUGCUUCAGUGUAACCUUGUGUAAAUACAACUCAAGCCCCUGUACUGUAAUGCACGUACCUACUGAAUCUUGUAAGUAAAUAUUAGCAUGUUUGUUGCGUAUGAAUACGUACCUGUUUGCUGCAGCUGGUGUACGCAUCAGGCUCUGGUUAUAAAAAAGUUUGCAAUUACGAUAUGCCUUUGUUUUAUGUUCACUUUGGUUGCUUCAUUAAGGAAGUGAGUGGCUUGUCUCCAUCUCCUUCACCACCACCACUAACAGAACAUAAUUAUCGCGUAACACUUUCAACUUUAUGUCUAUUUGAGUUAUUAUUUACAAUUACAAUUUUUUUAUAUUAAAAUUUAUCAAAUAAUUUUGACAAUGCUUUUUGUACUAGCACUUCAAAAGAAUUAUUUAUUAAACAUGAAGUUGCUUUACUUUACAAUUAAUUAUUUUUAAAGCACAAUAAAAUUAAAUUUUUUAAAAAAGUCACAUCAAUCUCAAAUUCCCCUUCUUUCUUGUCCGUCUCCAAAUGGUAAACUGGUAAUCUAGCUUUUGACCCCCAAAAAAAUGGAAAUCUAGUGGGCCUUUCAUAAGAUAAUGUCAUUAUCAUUGUGUGAGUAUAUUCCGUGUAAUUGAGUAAUGAAAGAUAUCGAUCGCGUUGGGAAUUGGGGAAAGUUAGAAAUAUUUAAGAGACGGAUUUACUCCCUCAAUUAAUGUAAUUUAUGGGUUUUCAAGAAUUAAAUGACGGAUUUUAAUGUGGAACACACAUAAAUUUGUAUACCUGAUGUAAAUUUAAGAGUUGGAAUAAUUUUAAUAUCCAUUAUAGGCAAAUGAACAUGCCAUGCUAUAGGUGUGUGCCCAAUUUCAUUGUGGAGAACGUAGCCGUAGGAGAGCAUGCGUCCAACCCCAAAUUCCCUUUCUUCCUCACCUUGCUCCAACCUGUAGCUGCCAAAAUGUAGGUAAGCAACAGCCUACAUUACGGGUCCAAUAAUGUACAAUUUUGGCAAAGUCCAAUUACUUUAAUGAUGGAAUGAUUGUAUAGUUAAAUCUUACUUAAUAAGAUAAGAGUGAGAGUCAAAUUUAUACGGUGCAUAUUUAUUUCAUGUGUCAAUGCCAAUUAUAUUACAUAUUUUAAUUGAAUAAUACGGACCAUUUAACUUGACACAUGCAAAAUUAUAGAUGAGCUUGUAAUUGUAACAUUAAGAUUCACACAAAAAACGAAACUCACAAUAUUUAGCUGAAUGGAAAAUGUUUUCAAGAUGCAUCUAUCAUAAGUUCUAGCUGUGAACAUUAUUAUAUGGCAGUGUCCCAUCCCAUGGUCUCCCCAAGACUCACAACCCAACAUUUUCUUUUUCUUUUUCUUUUUCUUUUAUUUUUUUAUUUUUAUAAAACGCAACCCAACUUUAAAAAUAUGAUCCAUAAUUGCAUAUUGUCAAACCAACAGUGAAAAAAAAAAAAAAAAAAAGGGAAGCAGGAACCGACGCUCUAGAUUCAACAAUUUUAUUUGGUCAACACACAAAUAUUUAAGCUUGGCUUAUAUACGGUCUAUAAUCGGCCACAGGAACCGGACAUCAAGGACAAUUGUCUGAUAACGUGAAAUCCACGACUCUGGUUAAACUUACCAUGGUUAGUUCACUAUAACCAUACUACAACGAACCGGUUCACCAGAAAAAUAAAAUUAAAAAAUUAAAAAAUUAAAAAAAGGUAAAGGAUGAAUAAAAAAAUAAUUGGGUAAUGCAAAUUAUUGCCACUUAACGGAGUAGUAGAUUCUGUUAGAUUCAUUUGACGAGGCGAAGAGGGGGCGCAUAGUAAGAACGUUGUAACGAGGUUUAAAAGAGACGGAGCUGACGGUUUAAGAUAGGGAGACGCGGGAGCCGUUGGAUUGUUGAUCAAGGGCCGAUAAUGCAAGGCGUUGGACGGUUCAAGUGUGACGGAGAGUGGGAGGGGUCGUAUAAAGCCUGGGUUUUGAAAGGUGAGAGUGCAUUUCGUUCCAUCAAAACAAGAAGAAGAAAGAGGAAGAAGAAGGAGAAAGAGCCUCUCUGACGUUUUGGCCUUCGGUUUUUCUUCUGCUUUAGAAUUUAAAGAGGAAUUCGGGAGAGAAUUCGUAGAGCUGGACUGUGUGUAAUGUUAAGGAUCUAAUUACGAAGCUUUUCUGUGAGCCUGUUGUGUGUUCGCGGGAGAGAGAAGGAGAGAAGAGCUUGCAGAGGUUGGUGAUGGAGAAAACAGAGCUCGAUUUUGGUAGUUUUAAUGUAAUCUGAUUUCUUAGAAUGACCGGGUUAUUUUGUGCAAUUUCUGUUUUGCAGAUACAUUCAGAAGAGCUUUUGGAGGAAUUUGAAGUGAAAUCGAUUGCGAUUUGCUGGGAUAAUUUCCAAGGUGGACCUCAUUUCAUUGAAAUUUACAGAGAAAAGGUCGAGAAAUCUAGUUUAGAGGUGAGGGGAGUUGGAUUUGCUUAAUUUCCUAAACGAUUUCACUCCCUUAUUCUAACUCAUCGUUCGUUUGAUUUUGGUUUCACAGGUACAUUUCCCGGAGAUUUGACCCCUUUUUUUUGAAGAAAUCUCAACUGGGGUAUGAGAUAAAGAAGAACAAGCAUCUCUCAUUCAUGAGUGUCAGGGACAUAGGCUCUAAGUUUCAAUCAUUUCGUUGAUUUUCGGCUCUAGAUUUGCAUUUUGCAAAGUCAGAAGGCCUAGAAGAGCAAGAUUACCCAAAAGAAGCAAACUUUCUUUUGCAAAUUCAGGAUUGUAGCUGCUUGCGAAAUCUCAGUAUAACAGGUGAGGAUUCAUUUUCCGAAUCCUAGAUCAGUGAAACCAAGUCUCGGGCUUAGGAUUUCACUGGCUGAUUUGAUUUCCUUCCAUUUUCGGUUCUUCGAAUUUUGAUAUCUUUCUACUCAAUUUGGUUUCUUCAAGGAGGCUCUCACUUUUCUCUUCUUUUUCCUCAUCUGCAGCAGAGUCCAAGCAAUUGGUUUCUCUGUUUUUUGAUUUUCGAUGUUCAAAAGCAGAUAACUUUGCAACAGAAUUUUAAGCUUUUCAAAUGAAGCCAGCCGAGUUCCUUGACUCUCUCUCUCUCUCUCUCUCUCUCUCUCUCUCUCUCUCUCUCUCGCUCGCUGGGUCUUACAUUUGGAUCCAUCAUCUUUGUCCAUCAUCUUCUUUCAAUUUUCUGUCAUCUGCCUUCUGUGCAAGAAUUUUCAAUUUCAAAAAACUAAUUGACCUUUAUAUUUGGGAAGAUUAUCUCUUCUUCUUCGUCUUCUUCUUCUUCCUCUCCUCCUCCUCCCCAUUUUAAAGGCUUUUAAUAUAUUUUUCUGAAUGAUUUCCGUCUGUAUUAUCAGCAUUGAAAAGAAAAGACCUUCUCUAUGAAAUUUUACCCGCUGUUUUGUGAAAAAUCUAUCUAUCUUUGGUGUUCUUUGCUGGCAGUCCGAAGUUUGUGUCUUUUCCGAAAUUCAAACACCAGCAGAGUGCAAAAUCUUCUGUUUGGUUCUCGGGAAACUGAUACAAGAAAAAACUGAGCUAACAGACGUAAUUGCUCAACUUAUUUAAUCGCAAUUCGUUGGAAGCGUCUGAUAAAAAAAAUAUAUAUAUAUAUCAAAGAUACAAUUUUCAUUCUUUGUCCUUUCCCUGCCUUUUUUUUUUUUCGAUCUUCAUCUUCUCCGUCUGUUUGGGUAGGCCCUGCUUUUCAUUUGAAUUUUAUUUUUAGGCACUCGCAGUUGCAGAGAGCCAGCCACAAUCCAAUUCCAGAUUCUCAGUUUUUGCCAUUUCCGUCCCUAACUUUAAUUAUGAGCAUUAACCGCGGUUAAAGUGUAAAAAAUCAUGUUAACUAACUAACCGCUGUGAUUAAUUCUUGUUUUGGCAUGGGUGGACAGGUGUACAAAAGGAGAUGGAAAGGGACUGUCUUAGGCACACCCAUACUAAAGACACCCACAAUCCCAACACUCGAGACAAAACCGGAGGGGACGCCUCAGCCUCUCUGCUGUUGAGAGCGAGCCCCGAUGCCAUACGACACGCAACGACGUCGUCCGAUUUCGUUUUGCAGUGGGGGAACCGCAAGCGCCUCAGGUGUAUGAAGAUCCAGGUCAAAGACAAGGGCAAAGACGACUCCGACGCCCCGGUUACCCGAACCACAGUCCGGGUCGACCGCCGGGUCGUCCGACCUGAUAAGGACCCGGCCAAUCAGCCUUCCACGGCCGGUAACUCUAAUCAGACGAAUGGGUAUUUGAAUCUCCGUCAACGGCCGUUAUCUCCGCAGCAGCCGCCACUUCAGCGUGUUCUCAGGUUACCACUUGCACUUCACGCUUUUGCUUUAUCUAAUCUAUAUCUAUUGCUUCCACGGGACGUCGUUUCGGUCCUGCCUUUCGUUAACAUGUAGUUUCGUCGUUUUGUGGGGUAGUUGUGGUGGCGUUUUGUCGUUUAAAUUAGUGGCGGGUGGGCCAGGUGCGUGGGUUUUGUCGUUUUUAGUUAUUUUGGGACUUGUUGCCUACGGUUACAUCUGUACAGUUUUGGUGCGGUUUUUAUAUAUACCUUGAUCUCACCGUCAGAUGCAUGAGUCAUAAUCAUCAGAUCAGGAGAUUUUAUAUUCAGACUUGCUUGAUUUUAGAUUUUAGAUUUGUGAGGAAAAAUCUCAGAUGAUUGCGUGGCCAAUUUCUCUACGUCUGUGAAGGUCAAAGAGAAUAAUUUUGUUAGGUAAGUGUUUGUUGCUUUGAUUAGAUUAUUUCAUAUGCAACAAUAGAGUGAUUGCAAAUUCUGUUAUCUUCUUCCUUGUUUGGUUGAAGAGAAAAUCUUGUUUGCGUGAAGGGAAAAUCUCUGAUUUUCUUGUGCAAAUUUGUCGCUUUAGAUUGGAUUGAUUUAUAUGAGUGGGACUGGAUAAAUGGAUAAGGCUAGAAAGCAUGGAAUUUUGUCCCACACCACUGGUUUUUUAUAUUCCUGGCCUGCCAUUAACAUGGCUGUGUUUAAUCCUAUGUGCUUAAUGUGUAGUUGAAUGAAAUUUUGUCGGAGGGUUUUUGAGAUUAGGAGUUUUAAUGAUGAAAUUUGGGGCUGAAUUUGUUGUGAGGCUUAUCUUAAUGAUCAACUCUCCAAUUGGUCAGGUGGGUGAAGAGAUGUAAAAGCCCCAGAAGGAGAGCUCAUGGUAAGUGCAUGAGGGUAGGGUGCCUUCUUUGUUUGUCUUUGUAGGAAACUAGUAGCAUAUGAUUGAAUUAGGUUGCUCAUGUAGUCAUGUAAUCUUUUUGGCUUGAUUGUGCACAACAUAAAACACAUUAACAUAACAAACAACUUAAAUUAGAGAAAGAGAGAGUCUUAGUGCCAUAAGGUCAAGCAUUUACCCUCACAUUCACGGCAAGAGUUUGAUUCUUCCUCGUUCGUGUUUUUCAGGAUGCGGUAUUAAAUUAUGGUAUCAUACAGGAUGGUGUAUCAAUAAGUUGAUGUCAAGCAUGAUUGAUUUGAUACUAGUUCUAGUUUUCUUUUUUGGAAUAAAUGCCUUAUUUAUUGUGAUUGAUUUGUUAUUUAUUUUAGACACGAUGUUAGGGCUGAUUUGAUCAUAAAUCUAGAAUGAUUAGGCUUGAGUAAAUUGAUUUCCACUAGGACUUGUGUAGCAGGCUUAUGUUGCUCAUGGUCACACCGGAUCGGGGCUCCACUACAUCUUAGCAUGAUAGCGUCCGAUCCAUAACGACCGGCACCCUGAUUCCAUGGGCUCAGUGGAAAUAGGAAAUGGGCAACUCCUAUUCCACGUGUCCACGGAAAACCAAUUCUUCAACCCCGUUUCUAGCCCUGGGAUCACUGAUGGAUCAGGCAAUGGAUCCACGCCUUCCACGUUUCAACACGUGUUCCUUAACCCCACAAAAGGCACUCUCAAUCCAACGGCUAAAAUCCUGCCCAAAAACCAGCUGUGCACGUUAUACAGUACAUCACAUCCCUUUCCUCUCUCUCUCUCUCUCUCUCUCUCUCUCUCUCAAAUAUCUAACUUUUCAUUAAAGAAAAGAAAAUUAACAACUCCCUCGUUUAAAAGCAGAACACAAAGGUCCCCCAAAGAAGCCAAAAACCACGCUAAUUUUCUACGCAAAACCCAUUACAAAGCCUCUCUCUCUCUCUCUCUCUCUCUCUCUCUCUCACACCAAUCCACCGAUCUAGAUCGUCUCAAGGCCAUUCCCGUAAUUUCACAACUACCCACAUUAAUUUAAUUUAAUUUAAUUUUUUGCCCAAAAAGUAUCAUUUAUUAUGUUUUGUGCCAGCUUUUUUAUGGGUUUAUUGAAUUCAAUUGAUUUGAUUUGAUUUGAUUUUGAUAUGCGUAUCUGAAUUGUGUAGAAACUCAGAGACCACAACAAGUGCCAUGAGAGGCCAGAGCAACGGAGGCUUGAGGGGAAUUGUUUCACCCGACAACAGAGGGGGUGCGCACGAUAAGAAAGGCAACCACCACCAUCACAACCACCACCACCAUAAUAAUGAGAAUAACAACACCAAGUCUGCAGCUUCUUCGGACACGGCGCACGAUAGUAAAAAGGGGGGAGGUGGGUCUUCAUCGGGAAGCGGCGAAGCAGCGUUGGCGCCACCGAUGGUCUGGCCGCCGAAGUUCGUGAUUGCUUUGACCAACAAAGAGAAAGAAGAGGACUUCAUGGCAAUCAAAGGGUCAAAAUUGCCUCAGAGACCCAAGAAGAGAGCAAAGUUCAUUCAACGCACCCUCAAUGUAAGCUCCUCUAUUUUCCUUUUUUAGUUACUUUAUUAAUUAAUUAGUAUUAAUUAAAACUAACUAGUUUUUUUUAUUUUUUUUCUUUCUCUUUUUAAAAUAACACCAUUGCCUUGCAAAAACAAAUCAAAACCCAGUUUGAUUUUAUUAUAUUUAUAUGGUUGUUUUACCUGUAUUUAUGCAAAUUGUUGUUGCGACAAAAUGUGGACUAGCUUAGAAGGAAGGAAAAGCAAAAAAUAAUAAAAUAAUAGAAUAAUAAAUAGAACUUUCUGGUAUUUGUUUAGUUUGGGUUAAAAGAAGCCGAAGAAGAUUGCUAAAGUGACAGCAAGAACAAGGCAUACACGUGUCCGCCAAGCCAUGUAUGCAUAUACCUAAUAUGCCUAAAAGUUAGUUUGCUGUCCGACUGGAAUAGUAUUAAUAGGACGAUGGUUUGGGUUAAGAUUAAAUUCUAUAUUAUUCAUAAUAAUAUGAUAAUGAAAUAUUUUAUUUAGGGUCGCCUCGUUUAGUGGAAAAUUGAUGUCACACGUGGCAAUACAUGGUUGUUGCUUUUGGGUUGGUUAUCGUGGCGAUGGACGGUGCGUGGCGUCUCAUGUGGCCGCAUGUGAUUUAGUGGGCAUCAGUGGACGUUUAAAGCAAGUGGGCCUUAAUUCUGUACUAACCGACAAAAAAAGGGCAUAUGGGUCGAAACGGACCCUGGGCCUGUUACCGUUGGUUUUUUUUUGGGGGGUUCUUUUUGGGAAAUAAUAUGCUUCAUGUUGAGGGCAUAUAGGUAUUUUCACUAGCCCUUAAUUAUGCUAACUGUUUUCUGGCUUGGACCGCACUGCCAACUGCUGAGCACAAAAGCACGAAAGCUGACUACCCACAAUGCACCGUUUUCGUUUUUUAAGUUCCAAACAUAGCAAAACUCAUCAAAGUGCUUAUCAAAAAGCCUAUCCCGCUUUUUGCCCAUUACCUAAAGCAAAAGCUACGCUUUUGCCAGUCUGUUUUUGCUUGUUUUGGCCUCUUCCUUUUAAUUAGCUGGAAGAUUAUUGUUCUAAUUAGUUUUUUAUUUUCUGUAAUUUUGUUUUAUAGCUGGUAAGCCCAGGAGCAUGGCUCUGUGAUCUGACCCUAGAACGGUACGAGGUCAGAGAGAAGAAGAUUUCCAAGAAGGUAUUUUAUUGAGUAAUUUUCUUCGAUUCAGGGCCUAAAUCAAAUUUCCUUAAUUUGCCUUUAAUGUUGAUAUUUUUAUGCAGCAGAAUGAAUAGUUUUUUUGUGUUUUUGCAUGAUGCUGCAGAGACCAAGAGGGCUAAAGGCGAUGGGCAACGUGGAGUCUGACUCUGAAUAGAAAGGAGUUUUAGUGAAAAGACUAAUAUAGCAUUUUCGUUUUUUUUCUCCUCCUUUUUUUGAAGGUAUGAGAAAAAUGUUAGAACUUUGUAAAAAUCUUCACCUUUCAACCAUCAGAAUAAUGAAUGGAUUCAUUUCCGGUCCUGUAUACAGUCUUGUUCCUCAUCUUCCUACUAAGUUUGUUUAAUCAGAACAAGAAAAAAAAAACAAAUCAUCACGUCCAAGCACACGAACAAAUGAAAUUUCUCUCUUUCAAACCCUAAUUGUGAAAAAUAAUUAAAAUAAGCUUCAGGGAUGUAAUUCAAGUGGUUAGUCAUGACAUGUUACACAAUCCAACAAUUUUUUGUUUUCUUGUCAACCUACAACACAUUUUCUUAUGUCGUAUUAAGUUAGAAAAGGGAAUUAACGGUGUUGGAUAGUCGUCCAAACGCACGUGAGUGUCUUAUGAUUGUUCAUAUAUUAACAUAUGGGUCUCAGUCUAACAUACAUCGAUGACUUACGGUGGAAGUGCUCAUUAGGCAUGGGCAAAAUCAGUUUCAGACUUCACCAUCCGAGUGAAAAAGAAACUCGAGACUCGAUCGCUCUCAAGAUGUGAAGAAAAUCACGAAAUUGACUCUUGAGACGAGAUUUGAGACUCUUUAGAGGUUAGACUUCAAGAAGGAAGAAGAAAAACAACAAACCAUAACUCUCUUUAGCUGACACACGUAACGUAAAACCACAAUAUAUGAAUUUGCAAAGCUAUUAAAGACAAUGACAUCUAAAAAUUUACCCGAGACAGGAGAAAAACCAGAACCCCAACUCCCUAAAGUUACCUAGUCAUUAGCAAAUUGAAGGGCCACGUCUAAUUUAUAAUGAUAAGAGAUAAUAUCAUUGUUUGGUCGCAUGAUUUGUGGAUGCCACUUUACAUUAUGUGGCCUCCUUAAUUGGUAUUUUGAUGUGACACGGAACACUUAACGCGGUAAUUUAAUUUCUUAACGUAAUUGACAAUUUCAAUGAAAAUCCAUGACCUAUCAUAUCAGACCACCAAACCAAACCCAACUGAAUUAAACUAUUGGAAGAGGAGAAAACAUGGGUCCUAAUUCAAAUUAACAUUCAUAAUUCGCCAUCAUUGACGGGAAGACCCGAAUUAAUCCCCUUAAUUAUGCCACGAAGAAGCAUAAACACAUUUUAAGAAUAACAUCUGCUCUGUGAGAGUUUGUGGAGACAGACAGAUCCACCACCCACCAUCCAGCUGGUUCUCAAAAGGCAAUUCUAAUGCUACCUGCGGGUCGUGAAGAAAAGAGGAAGAUUUUUCAAUUUAAUUAGCCCCCAAAAAAUAGCAUGGAAAAUACCCCCAAAGGGCCCUAAAUAUACCCUUACCCACUGGGCAUAUUUGUCAAUAAACACUGAAAUUAGGGAUUUUUUCAGGACCCAAACACAAUUGCUAUAGUCGGUGACCCAGAGCCUAUCAAAUUAUAAACUCAUUACGUGUUGCAGUUGGAAUUACAGCUUUAUUCUGUUAGAAUAAAUGAUUAAUUUACACCGACUUGGCUACGCCGCUUUUUUGGUCCAAGCGAAAAUAAAAUAAUUGGAUCUGGAUUUGUAAUUUGCCGCUUUUUAUUUGCAGGUAAUGAAAAUGAAAUAACAAUUUGGAUAUUAGUUAAUUUUGAUAUCACAAGCUAGACAAACACCAUUCUCAAAGCAACUCAAGCAUCAAACACAGGAGGAGGAGGAGGAGGAAGACAAACGAAAUAAAAUCAAUGAAUUAUUUACUCAUAAUAAGGAUAAUAAUCGAAAUCCACAAAUACAAAACCCAUAGUAAUAAACCAAGUGCAUUAUAUAUGUAGUCUAUGCACCACAAAAACCCAUAUGACACUGAAAAUCCUAUAGAUCCAUAAUCACCAGCUACUAAAAUGACAAACGCUACUAAUAAAAAACCAAUCAGAAACCCAACCGCUCUCUACACAGCCCCAACCAUAGUUGCAGUAGUAAGCGAAGACUCAAACCCUGAGCGCAGAUCCGAAGACGAUAGCGGCGAAGGCGGCGGCGAAAGCAGAGAUGAACGACGGGGAGAUGGAGGCGGAUGCGGAGGUUGGGCUAGGAGCUGGAGAUUCGGCGGCCUGAGCGGCGCCGAUGACAGAAAGGACGGUGACGAAGACCGCCAUGAGAGCCACGAGUGAAGUUGCCUUUGAGACUGCCAUUGUUGAUUGGUGUGAGAGUUUCUUGUGCUUCGGAAUCUAGGGUUUUGGGAAUACGCCGAGAGACUGAAGCACAAAUAUCAGAGGUGGAAUGAAGUAGGCUCAAGGAACGUAUUUAUAGCGGGGAUUUUGGGCUGGGGUCGGGCAGCCUGGGCAGCUGCCCGGUUCUACAGGCUGGCUACUUGUGAUUGGUUCAGCGCGACAGCUCACACCGCUGGUCGGGGUAAAUUUUUCUCUGUGGGCCCCACUAGAAACCAGUGUCUACGCGGAGUCGUUUCACGCACGAUUUUACCUUCGUCUGAAACGACGCCGUGUGUUCACAUUCCUUAACGAAAGGGCUUUUCGCUUCGCGGCCGAGUCGACUCAGUGGAGAAUAUAUUCGCAAGAAUCUUCUAGCUUGCGACGCGCGGAUCAGAUUCUGUCCGUACGGUGUCAUUUGAGUCACAUCACAUGAUGAACGGUCCAGAUGAACCCGUGGGAACACGUGGGAAUGGAAGAGGUUAUAACGGUUUCGCGGUAAAAAAAUUUGGUUUUUUAUUUAUUUUUAAACUUAAAAAAUGGCCCACAAUGCGCAAUCAGGGAGAUUACAGCGCAGAAAACACAGAGAGGAUGCGUGACUUUCUGGUGAGCGACUCGAUGGCCAACGGGCGAUCGACACGUGGGGAUUUCGAAAAAGACAGGUUGUUAAAUUGCGAGGAAAAAGAUACGACAGGUGUAGGGUGGGAUUUGGUUCUGUUGCUUCUGAUAUUUUUAUUUCGCGGGAUUUCCAGAACAUUCGCUUGGCAUUUUGCGUUUUGGAGUUGAGGGGCGCACAUGCGUGCGGGUGAAGUUACCGUAAUGCCCUUGAGAGUGAUUGGGUGCGUGUCAAUUUUAUAUUCACGUUCAUUAUGAGGAGCUAUGAGUAUCUACUUAAGAAAACCAAAAGGAAUGUGGCGCUGAAUCUGAAUGGGUUUGAAGUCCAUUAAUGCGUUCCAGGGCUUUUCAACAUUUUGUUCCAUAUUCCAUGCCGUGCCCACUGGCUAAUGGGUUUGAUGUGGGCCCAACAUAUUCUUUUCUCGUCAAAUCCAAAUAAAGAGGCCGGGUGUUACGGGAGCUCCUAUAAUCCAGGUCGGUUUAUGUCGUCGAAGUUUCAAUUCAGCUGUCUAAUAAUAAUACUCUUAAAGUGUUGUUGAACGAACUCACAAAUUAACUGUGUUCACUUUACUAAUAAACUAUUUAUUGAAUUAUCAAUUUGCUCUAGUAUAAAAUGACCAAAAAUGAUAUAUUGAAUUGUGAAAUAAAUGUAAUGUUAAUAAAUACACCAUACACUAAAUAAAUAAAUAAAAAUUACACCUUUCUCACUAUAUUCAACCAAAUUGAACUUUUGUUUUCUUUUUCUUUUUCUUUUUCUUUUUCUUUUUUGGGUUUGUUUGUUAACCUCAAUAAUAAUAAAUGAAUAAUUAGGGAGGGACCAACCAUAAAGCCAAGCAGGAUUAACAAAUAUGUAUAGAGAUGGGUUAGUAUUAUGAGACAACCAUCACAAUGUCUGUCUGAUUCAUAUAGAACUGCAUAAUUAAUGACAAUGAUGAUAUUAGUGUGUAUCAGGGGUAUUUUUAAAGUUUUUAUAAUUGUGUAUUAGUGUGUAUCAGGGGUAUUUUUGGUAGUUAAAUAUGGUGUACUUAGUUAAUUUUACAUUUUGAUUUAAAUAUUAAAGUAUGUUUAGAUCAUAGGGUGUACUUAGUUAAUUUCAGAGUUCGUUUAGCAAUGCUCUACUUUUAUUGAUCAGACAACUAUGAAGACUCCCACACUAUAGCCUCAUACAAGUGGUACGCAGCAUAAAUGGGCAUGUAAACCAUAGAGGACCAAGAUAUAGAACCGUUGACGCACGUAAGUUCCACAAUACUGUUAAUAUAUGUGCGGGCGACUCCGAGUAACUGUUAACCUAGAGUCAGAGAAAUGAAAUUCAAAUAUAAAAUAUUUUAUUCUAAUGUCGAUUUCUGAAUACAAAAAUGUGAAUUUGAUGCAGUGCUAAAUAAGGUGUGCUACUUCUCUGUACAUCUGAUACUGAUACUGUUGUGGACGGGGGUUUUGGCCAAAGAGCUAUCAAGUGAACCUCAACUAAUAAUAAUAUUACAGCUGAGGUUGAAUUCUAUGAUGACAAAUAACACACACCACAAACAGGGAAUUUUGCAUGCUCUUCGGCUAGAGAAGUUUGAUUUGACUGAGGAUUUAUGUGUUAGAAGCCCAAAAACUUUGGUGCUAAAUGCAGAAGGGGUUCCAUAGCACUUGGAGCAAAUUUUCUUCCAAAAAGAAAGCAGAUUGAAGAGUUCCGGUCGUUGUAAGUGCAGCGAUGACCCUCGAGCAUUCUCUUGAAGAAUUCCUCAGUGAUAUCAGCUCUUCCAAAGGUAGCUGGGUGAGGUCCACCCCUUGACCAAUCCACCCAAGUGAUGCUUCUGUUUGCUAAGGAAUUCCCUGCUUGAAUGGUUAGCAUGGUGGGGAAAUAGUGCUCAUCAACAUAACAUGCGGGUCUACAGAACUUUUCAAAUUUUUGGUAAAAUGUCGUAUCUUCGACAAUGCUGAUGGCAAGCUUCCGGUUAACUUCAAACCAUUGGGAGCCCUUGCGCCACUGGGUUAUAUUCACUUCAGGUGCCAUGUUAUUAUUAUAGCGUCCUCUCCCGAAUGGCCCAGGGUCGUCAAAUGCACCGAUGAAGCUGUACUUGGAUUUCAUUAAGUAGUGGUAAAUGACACUGAAGUUAUAGAGCGGAAUGCAAGAUUCGGAAACAAGAAUGAACCAUUCAUUGGAUAUGUCAAGCAAUGCAUUAGCAAGGAGCCUUCUCUCAGCAUCACACAUACUCAUUCUUCCCCACUCAGAAACCUGCACAGCAGAAAACCAAAACUCUUAGCAGAUAUGUAAGAGAUAUUGCAUAAUAUCUAUCCAGAUUUGAACAGAAAAAAUUUCUACAGCAGCAACCAAGAUGACCUCAAAGAAAUUAGACAAAACAAGUUAUCCUCAAGCUACAAAGCAACAACAAUAUAAUUUUCCCUGGAUACUCUGUUUUUGAAGCUACUAACUGCGGAUCAUGAGUUUCUCUUUUGUUCAAAACACCCAGGUUAAAAAGUAAAACAAGCAGAGAUUUUAUGGAAUAUGUUCAUGAAUCUGAAAUAAAUACUUGGUAUGUUUCUAUACAAGCUUGAACUCUAUCACAAAGCAUCAUUCACAUAAAUAAUUAAUUUCUUCCUCAUAACCUGAAGGCAGAUAUCAUGACAGUAUGGAAAUGUCAUGAUUGUGGCACGAGAACAAGUCAGGAAUCAAGAACGUAGAUUAAAAAAAAAACAUCAGGACUAUGUGAAGAGGUCCAGGGUGCCACCCCAGUAGUCAAUGCCUUUACAUCAGCUGUUCAUCAUGUACGAAAACAUUUAUGCAUCUGCUUUUUUCAUGUUUAUAAACACAGGUGUUGUAAUAGUCUCAAGAUCCAAAAGUUAGCAGCAGAUGGAGUGGACCUAGUGGAGUUUCACAUGCAGGAUUGUCAAAUUCAUGGAAUAAAGAGUCAAAUCCAUUCACUUAGUUGAGUUUGCACUUGACACACGAGUCCAUGGAACAAAUAGGGCGUCCUGCCCUCCCCAAGAGAUGGUCUAUAUAUCCUACAUCACUGUAAUUCUCAAUACAUGAACAUGAUAAAACUGACCUGUUCCUUUCUACCAACACACAGAAAGGUAGUUUUAACCCUUUCUUUGAUGAUAAGCAAAAAUUACCAACUCUUGGAAAGAUGAAUUUCGGAUUUCAUCAUGUCUUAAGCUUCACAUACAUAACCUAACAUUUUUAAAUGCAAGAGACCAGGGUGUGUGCUCACCACAGAGCAAAUAUAGGAAAUCAAGAUGUGCAGAAAGUAAAAACCAGAUAAACCAGUGAUAGAGAACUAGAUAUCUACGAAUUUACCUCAAAAUAAAAAAUAAAAAAAUAAUUUUGUACUUGCUGAAGGAUGCUUAGUAGAACAUGCAAUCUCACAAAGGAUAGAAUAUGGACCUGGCUAGGAAUGUGUCUCCCAUAAAAAACGGACGAAGUGUGAAAAUGAGGUUGAAAUGACGGCAGUGAAUGAACGUAGAUUGAAUAACGUCCUUCAUGUCCCUUCAGAAACCUCUCCCAAAGGGGUGCCAGCGGCAACGGCCCCCUGGUCAAGAACAUAAAUGCAAUCUUUGGAACUCUCUCAAAAGGAUACUUCUUUAUUCUAGGCAUAAGAGAAGCCCUCCACAAUAAUUCCUUAUCAGUCAUAGUGUGUUGAAGAUUUGAUGGCGGCUUAAUCCACCGGUCCAAACCACUCGGUUCCUCAUAGCAUGGCUGGAAAGAGGACGUGACCGUUGUCAUCACCCCAUUAAUUCCAAAAUGACGAAUCGUCAAUAUGCUAAUGACUGAGAAAGUAAUACAGAAAAGCACAAACAGCACAAACAACUGAAGUAGCCUUAUCGGCAAUGCCUUGGUUUGGUUUGUCCUGCCAGUAACUCCGGGGUCCUUGCCUUCCUCUAAUGGCACAACCCUUGAUUGCAUGGUUUGCAUCUUGAUUAAAACACUGCACCAAAAUCAAUUUCUAGCUCUUCUGAUUACUACAGAGUACCUCCAAGUCUCAAAAUUUUGGACACCUAUUGACUUCUCUCAAACAAGAAAACCCACAGUCCAAAAUUGCAUCUUGCAUCACAAACGGUGAAGUGAACACGAAUUUAAUCACAUUGGAAUCUGAAUCACUCAGUUUUCUUCAAAACUGCAACCCCACCAAAUAAAAACACACUGCACAGAUCUGAAACUAAUACUACAGUACUGAACACAUACUGCGUAAAAAAUUUUAACUUCAGCACAUGGGUUCUUAAUAAACUGAGCUUAUAUCAACGAUCUAAGCUAAGAUCAUACAAAUAUGGAUCGAACUUCUCUUUCACCAGAGAAAAAAGUAUGACAUACCAUGUGACUUUUGAGGUUGAAAGCUAAAUUGAUGAAGACGAAUGAAGGAUUUAGAUCCUUGUAUUUGACUGCUUGAAUUGCGCCCAAGAAUACGGGAAGUGGUCAAUUGGAUGAAGAACAAGAGAACAGAAGGAGGAGGUCACGCAGAGGAGACUUUGGCGGCAGAAACAAAAAGGUGCAGUGACCAAUAAUAAUGAGAGAGUUUGAAAAACUUGGGGAGAAGUCUUGACCGAGUGUGCGCGUUGUGUGUGAGAUGAGAGAAUUGUGAGGAAGACGACGACUCUGUGAUGAUCUGUAGAAUCUCAAGUUUUAAGAAUGUCUCUCACACGGUGCGGUGCGAGUGAGGAGGGAGAGGGGAUCCAGCUUGUCGGCUAACUUGGGAGUGUGAUAUAUAAGCACCCAUCCAGUUUCAUAGCUUGGUGGAAAAACGAACUUGCCUCAUCUGUUGCGUGUGUGUAUUUUUGGGUAAAUUCAUUAGUGACUAAAAUGAUAAAAAUCGACCUUCGGAUGCGAUUACUAUGUUUUGAUUAUUUUUUUUCUUUUUUAGUAGAAGCGAUAGUUUCUAAACUGAAUGAAAGUGGAAUUUCUCACACACACACAUCUAUAAUGUCAUGGAGAUUCAAACUUGAGACCUCUAUUAUGCAAGUUAAAAUUUUUCCACGCAAUAGACCCUGUUGGCGAUACACUUUGAUUUUAAGAUGGGCAGAUAACAAUAGAAACUUUAUUUUAUUUAUUAUUAAUUGCAAGCACCCUAUUGGAACACGUUUCACCCUAUUGGAGCAUAAUUAGCAUCAAAGCAAGAAAAUCAACUAUUUUCCCCCCUCAUAGCCGCAUAAAAGAACAGAUAAAAGGAUAGAGUAUAGAAGCCUAAGUACAGAUGUAAAUGUAAUUAUUGGUUAGAGAUUGGGUUUAGUUUAAACAAGUUAAUGAGGCUUUGAUUGGUUGUUGAAGCUUAAUGUCUUAUGGUGGUGGAGAACCCAAUUGUAUCAAACAACGUAAUAAACACGACGUGGUGUAGUUGGGCAGACCGCAAGUCUUGGCCUCUAGUUAGGUGGGAUUUCAGUUCUUUCACCAAACCAAACAAGCCAUGAGGAAAGCUAAAGAAAGUCUAAAGGUAGGAGCCAUAUGUAGGAUCAAAUCUGCCUAGUAACCAGUUGUAUAUCCCCUUCUGUCUACAACACUUUACAUUACGUAAUCGGUUGCAUAUUUCUAUUCUAUCUGUUUAAAACAAUCAUCAUCUAUAUAUAUAAAGCAAAAGGUAGAGAAUGGUGAAACAUUCAAAAUACCAGAAAAUAUCCUUGGUUAAUGCAAACAUUAAGAACUAAACUUAUUAAUUAAAUGAGGAUAAUAUGGUAAAUUUACACUUUUUAUAAAAAAUUAAAAUUAAAUAAAAAAUAAUGGAUCUUAUUUUUAUGGAACACUUUUUAAUUCUAAAAAAAUUUUAAAUUUUUUUUAAAAAAAUGCCUCUCGCAAGCGCGUGCAGAGAAGCUAGUGUUACAUAAUGAGUGUUGUAGACACGAGAAUACAAAACCGGAGAUAGCUAAGAUUCUCUCCAUAUGUUGAGUCUACACCUACCUACAACCGCAUCUAAGAUUCCCCCAGCAAUAAGGACACAGGGACAGCUGAGGAUCCAAAAUGGUUCAUAUACAUGGGGUCCCGAUCUCGAUCUAAACUUCGUUAAAAAUAAAGUUGAUUGGUUGAUAGAAUCAACCACACUCAAAAAAACAAGCAGUUUUAACUCGAGAGAGGAGUAGAAUCAACCACACUAAAAAAAAUAAGCAGUUUUAACUCGAGAGAGGAGUAGAAUCAUAAAGCCUUCGCUGCUGUGAAUGGCGAUCCUGCAAAACAAUUCAUGAUGUAACUGUGAUUUGCAAAGAAAACCAUCCAUGCAUUCAUUUUGAACGUGUGAUAUAAUAACACGUCAUAUCGACAAUGAGAUCCUUGAAAACUGAGCAACGUCACAACAUUAGGUCUGUAAUUUGCCAGUAUAUCUACUGUCUAUGAAAACGCCAAAGUUGAAGACUAAAACUAAGAUACUACAGAGCGUUUUCUGCUCACAGUCACAGCACAUGAAACAGCUAAGAUGUAGAUGUUUCUAUCUUAUUCACAAAGGAACAGUUAGCUCCACAUCCCAAAUUCUAUAUACCAUGGCAUAUUUCUUGUAGCAUAUACCACUCUACUUCACCACAAAACUGGCACGGAGGUUGGAAACCAUAACUGGGCACUCUCCCUUCUCAUCAUAUUCAACAAAGUCCCCUCCCGACAAGUCAACAUGGUCAAAUUUUGUCCCUUCCACCUACAAGAAUGAACACUAGUUUAAGUUGAAAUAAAGAUGCAUCCAGCAGAGUCGAUUGCAGUACAUAAAAAUGAAAACUAGAACUUCAAAAAUCGAAACUAUUCUCCUAUUUUCAAAAAUUCAACAAUUCAAAUGCAAAAAUUCAAUUCACUGGGGCCUCUAGUAAUUCGUUUUUCACUCCUUGUUUCUUUUUCUAAAUUUCAUUAUCAAUCUAAUUUUCACUUUUAUUCUCCUUGGGGUAGGGAAUGGCGAUAGGCGGGCAUGACACUCCUGGCCAAGCAGAACAGUAAAAAUGAGUUGACAUUUGGUGACACCAUCUCUGGUCCAAUCCACAUGGUAGGCUUCCAUAGUAAAUCUAGUGUACAAGACAAUUAUACUGUUUGUGGGAUGCCCUUAACGUCAGAAAAAUAAAAUAUCACUAUUUUCUGCAGUUCCCACCUCUUGAAUAUGAUAUGCUCAUGAGAUGUACUAACCUUAAGAUCUUUAUGCUAAAGGACAGAGACCUGAGCUUUCUCACCCCAAAAAGAAAGGAUCAGAACUCAAAAGGACAAAAAUACCAAAAUAAGCUUUGAAAGGCGCUACCACAUUAUGGAAUAGGAUAUGCAAUCCUUAAUGCUUAAUGUACUAUGUACUAUAAGUACAAACAAGGAGAGUUAAGAAGAGAAGAAUAAAAGAAUUUAUACAUAUGCGCUGAAGUUCAUAGGAGUUAGUGAGAUUUAGUGCUUAGGAAUGUUCGCACGAUUACUAUUUAUAAGACCAUUCAGCUCAAAGGUCCCAGCAAAGUCAUUUUCCAUCCAUAAGUACAAUAAGAAAGUUUUAUACAAUAUGCUACAUAAUUGGAAGGUGGUGUGUGAAGAAGAGAAACUUACAGAUUCAACCUUCCACCCACUAGCAAAUACAUAGUCCACAGGCUCAUAACCCCUGCACUCAAACAUCAUCAAGGGGGAAAAUUUCCUUUCUUCACACAUUUGCUGGGUCAGUGGUUUACCAUGACCUGGCAUCAUUGUCAGAGUUCCAUCCCUUCCACAAAACUUGCACUACAAGGGGAGAUGCAAAUCACCACACAUAUAUAGCAAACUUAACCAGAAAAUAUUCGUUCAAAGAUAAAACAUAAAGGGAACAACCCCCAUAUCCAUGAAUUGAAGAUAUGCAAUAGUAAUAACUUAUGUCAACGUAGUUGACUCAUAUGUCAUCAAAUAGAAACUGCACAGAGAAAUGUGUUGGAACCCACACAUGUAAACUUUAACCAAGAGAAGAGAAAUGAAAUCCCGAUAAAAUCUCAAAGUUGUCGCUACAAUUAGGCACCCAAACAAACAAAGCAUUUGCUCAACCAAACAAGCAUACUACAGAAAACACAAACUACCAUAACUCUUCUGUUCCUUUCCUUCUAUUUCCUCAGAAACUAAAUAUACUUCAAUAAGCUCUUAAAUUCCAAAGCCCAUUGAGCAAUUAGUAGAGAGAGAGAGAGAGAGAGAGAGAGAGAGAGAGAGAGAUAAUGGUUACCUUCUGAACGAGAUUAACGGUUGCCUUGCCCGAUGGAAGAGGAACAGUCUCGUUCAAGCUCACACAAGUUUCCCUCUGGCUCAGCUCUCCACACCUCUCACAUUUCAACUGCAAGAUUACAAAAAGAAUAGAAUCAUGUUAAUAAUGACUAUAUCAAGCUCGGGAGACUAAGCGACGAACAUCGACGUCAAUUUUAAGCUACAACCCCUAGAAAUCUGAACACGAACACCAACUAUAAUGACAAAAUCGACUGCAUUUUUGGAGCAAAAAACUUGACGAAAGGAAAUGAAGGUGACCUUGAAGAGAUAGGAAAAGUUGGGGUCGUUGCAGCCUUCCUGGGGCUGAAGGUUCGUCAGGUUCUCGAGGUCCGCAGCGAUCUGAAGUAAAAAUUUCACCAUUUUCGAUUUGGCGUCAAUCUCGAGCUGCUCACCGCGUCUUUGUCUCACUGUGUGUAGCUAGUGGCAGGAUGAGUAAUAAAUAAGGGGGGCUUGGGCGACGAAUAGACGCUAUCAGUUAAACGGCGUCGUUGUGCGGAAUUUAAUUUUUUUCCGACACGGGGAUUUUUAGCUCAAGUUAACUACAAUUUACCCUAAAAUCGAUGGCCUAUGUUCGAAUCAUCUUUCUUAAUAUCGUUUGUAUUUUAAAAAAUAUUAAAUUAUAUGAAUCAUAUUGUGAUACCUGUUACAAAGAGAAGUUUAAUAUUAUGAAAGUCUUUCAAGUAGCAAAUGUGAAUUAGGUCAGUUAGUCAAAGUAGUGUGUCCAUCUUUUUUCACAUUAGUUUUUAGAUUUAUGAUAAUAGUACUUCAUUUGAAAUUUUGAAGGCCAUUGAAGUGAAGGAACCAAAGCAAUAUUGUAGGAAUUUAACAAUCAUUUUGCCAUUCUAAUUUGUGAGGACACGUCAUAAUGUUAGUCCUCAUACCAUUUUCCAUUUUACACACCGCAGUUCAAAUAUUGGACCAAAAAACAAAACGAAAUUGGCAUGAUUGGAAGGUGAACCAUGCAAAGUUUGCAGAUAUGUAAUCAGAAUCAUGUGCUACAUAUUAUGGAGGCACUGUCCUUGAAGAGAUUCAACUAGUGUUGGGAUCUUAGCCCAUCUCAUAUACUGAAAGAAAGAUAAUUUCCAUUUCAUGAUUUUGGGUGUUUGUGAUUAGUUAACAACAAAUUAAUGGGGGGAAGGGGGUUGUUUGGUGGUGAAGGGAUUGGAAUAAGGGGCAUAAUGGUAAUUAUGUUGGGAGCAACUGUGACUCUUAUUAGAUGUGGGGUGCUUGUGGAGGGUAAGUUGUUCUCUAAACAGAAGAUUUUGGAAGCCGAAAGACAAUUAAACCAACUUAGAAGGCCUGCAGUUAAAACCAUUCAGGUAAGAAUUGUCCAGAACUUGAGCCCUUCACAUAAGUUUUCUGCAUUGUAUUCAUUUACUCAGUUCAUAUUAAUCUCUAUGAUUGCUUGUAGAGUGAAGAUGGUGAUAUCAUUGAUUGCAUUGACAUCUACAAGCAGCCAGCUUUUGAUCAUCCUGCUCUCAGAAACCACACCAUCCAGGUCUGCCUUCUGUUGUGCAAGUUGAAAGUAGACAAAGAUUUACUCUGCAACUUUAAUCUUUUUGCUACCAUAUAACAACUGCUUUGAGUCUUUUUUUCAGAUGGCACCAACAUAUGAUACAACCAAGGAGACAAAGACAAUGAAAAAAAUGGACAGAUGGAAGAAGAGGAAUGAAGAACAAUCUCCCAUUACCGUGAAGCAAACAUGGCACAAAAGUGGAAGCUGUCCUCAGGGAACAAUCCCGGUCCGAAGAAUCCAGAAAAAGGAGCUUCUGAGAGCUAGCUUGGUUAAGGACUAUGGAAGAAAGAAGCACAGUUCUACCUUGUCUCGUCAUGUUUCACAGUUAAGUGACAACAAAACUGUGUACCUUCAACGAGCAAACCACUCGGUACAUCAAUUCCCCACACACACAUUUUUAAUUCAUUGGAAAAUUAACUACAACUAUACACCUAAUGAAGAGGGUUUUUUUUUCUCUGUGUGUAAUUUGUGAUGGCAUCAGAAGGCAAUAUUGUUUACAGAAGGGUACAGAUAUAAUGGAGCCAAAGGAGACAUCAAAGUUUAUAACCCAUCUGUCGAGCUUGAUGAUGAAUAUAGUACUUCUCAAGUUUGUCUCAUAAAUGGUGCUUAUUAUGACUUUGAGAGUGUUGAAUCUGGAUGGGCGGUAUAUAUAUAUUAACAUAAUAAACCCUUUCACUUUCAUCUUGAAGCUACUUACUUCUUCUGUCAUAUUAUGUUCAUGGCAUAACUUUUUAGUCUGAAAAAUUACUCUAAUCCCUCUUCAGGUAAAUCCCAGUGUAUACGGGGACAGACAGACUCGAUUUUUCGUGUAUUGGACUGUAAGCAGCCAUGAAUAAAGACUUAACAUUCAUGCGAGUAAUUCCACUAGAUUUGAUGUGAUUUCUGAUGUUUCUGCAGGUUGAUGGCUCACAGAAAACUGGUUGCUUUGAUCUCACUUGUCCUGGAUUUGUUCAGACUAGCCAUGAAAUUGCUCUUGGUGCAGCAAUCCAUCCAAUCUCUGUUCCUCAUGGGCUUCCAUAUCAAAUAAUAGUCUACAUCUACAAGGUCAGGUCAACAGUUUAACAACAUAACGCGCUUGAUGAACAGUUUAGCAACAUAACAUGUCUAACAUUAUUCGUAAUACUAAAUAAGUUUUCCUAUCGUAUCUUCAAUUGAAUUUCUUUUUUGUUUUGCCUCCAAAUUUAGGAUCCAGUAACAAGCAACUGGUGGGUGCAAUAUGGGGAGAGAAUUAACAUCGGUUACUGGCCGCCGGAGCUGUUUGUUUUAUUGAGCUACCAUGCAACAAGUGUUGAAUGGGGAGGUGAAGUUUAUAGCUCAAGAGUGGGAACUACGCCUCACACAAGAACAGAUAUGGGCAGUGGACACUUUGCUGAGUCAUCAGUUUGGGGGACUUCAGGCGUCAUAAAAAGAAUUCGAGUACAUGAGAAUUCACCUGGGCUGAAAUUCCCUGAUAUAGUUAAUACUUUGAUGGAUGAGUUCAACUGUUAUGAUGUCAAGUAUCUUUCGGAUUAUGUUGAAGAUCCUGAGUUCUAUUAUGGAGGGCCUGGUAGAAAUUAUAUGUGCCCUUAAGCUUAUGUUAACUUUGCUAGGACUUGUUUAAGACCCCAUUAGAAUGGGUAAUUAUGUUGUUUUAAACUUUCAUUAGUUAUUUUUUCAAUAUCAAACUCUGUAAACCCCAUCUUAUUUCUCAAAAUGACAUAGUUUUAGACAUAGACACGAUACAAGCACUAAAAACACAAGUGGAUAAUCCUAUUUCGUCCCCAAAAGGAAAAGCCUUAGAGAGUGGAAAUCUCCUAAUAAAUUGGUAAAAAUUAGGCAUAUUAAUUUUAAUUUCUAUCCAGAGGUUGCGCAAUAUUUGAAUUCAGAUUUAGAGGGAAGUGAAGUUUUUGGUGUAUAGGCAUCGAUUGUGUGUUACACUAACAUAACAUGUAUAACUUUGCACAAACGACUUGGAAUUUCAUUUUUUAUAUAUAUAAUAAUCGAGAAAAAUAUUUGUCUCAUUUCUUAAAAUGAGUCAUUCCUCCUUACAUGCAAAUUACAAUUUGACAUGAUCUACACGUGUUAGGUUGACUCGUUUAAUUCUACUAUUGACACGUAGCAUUAUCUCCUAAUAACAUAGAAAUUUAACAAUCAUACUGUAGAAAUUUAACAAUCAGUUCAUACUGUAGAAACCAAGCCAUACUGUAGAAAUUUAACGAUCAGUUCUUCUUUGGCUAAAGAUUUAUGUAGCUGGGUUUACCAAGGUUAAGGACACACUUGUCCAAAUAUUCAACAGCUACCAUUUUGAAUUUAACACUUGGCAAUUCAAAUAUAGAAUAAAAAUGUGAAAUUUGCAUGAUUUGGAAGGUGAAUCAUGCAAAUUUUGCAGUAUAUGUAGUUUGCAGAAGAUAUGUAUGCUGCACAUUGUGGGUGGCAUUGUCCUUAAAUAACCUAAGCUUAACUUAGAUUCUGAAAGCAAGAUAAUCAGUUUCCAUUUUAUGAUUUUGGGUAUUUAAAUUACCUGAGAUUUAGUAUAUAAUCAAACAAAUGGGGAAAGGGUUGUGUAGUGGUGAAGUGAUUAGAUUAAGGGGGAUGAAGAUGAUGGUAAUUAUGUUGGGAGUGACAGUGACUCUAAUUAGAUUUGGGGUGCUUGUAGAGGGUGAUUUGUUCUCUAAACAAAAGAUUUUGGAAGUUGAAAGAAAAUUAACCCAACUUAGAAGACCUGCAGUUAAAACCAUUCAGGUUUGAAUUGUCCAGAAUGAGCCCUCCACACAUAAGUUUUUUUAUUAUUGUAUUCAUUCUCAGCUCAAAUGAUUGUUUGCAGAGUGAGGAUGGUGAUAUCAUUGAUUGCAUUGACAUUUACAAGCAGCCAGCUUUUGGUCAUCCUGCUCUCAGAAACCACACCAUCCAGGUCUGCCUUUCUGUUGUUCUAGCUGAAAGUAAAAAAAAGAAAAGAUUUACUCUGCAACUUCAAUCUUUUUACUACCAUAUAACAAGUGGUUUGAGUCUUUUUUUAGAUGGCACCUACAUAUGAUGCAACAAAGGAGACAAAGACAAUGGGAAAAAUGGACAGAUGGAAGAAGAGGAAUGAAGAACAAUCUCCCACUACAGUGAAGCAGACAUGGCACAAAAGUGGAAGCUGUCCUCAGGGAACAAUCCCGGUCCGAAGAAUCCGGAAAAAGGAGCUUCUGAGAGCCAGCUCGGUUAAGGACCAUGGAAGAAAGAAGCACAGUUCUACCCUGUCUCGUCAUGUUUCAGAGUUCAGUGACAACAAAACUGUGAACCUUCAACGAGCAAACCACUCGGUACACCAAUUCUCCACACACACAUUUUUUAAUUAAUUGGUAAAUUAACUACAACUAUACAUCUAAUGGAGAGGGGUUUUUUUGUUUUUUGGUUUUUGUGUUUGUGUAAUUUGUGAUGGCCUCAGAAGGCAAUAUUGUUUACAGAUGGGUAUAGAUAUAAUGGAGCCAAAGGAGACAUCAAAGUUUAUAACCCUGCUGUUGAGCUUGAUGAUGAAUAUAGUACUUCUCAAGUUUGUCUCAUAAAUGGUGCUUAUUAUGACUUUGAGAGUGUUGAAUCUGGAUGGGCGGUAUAUAUAUUAAAAUUAAUAAACCUUUUCACUUUCAUCUUGAAGCUACUUACUUCUGUUACAUUUUAAGUUCACGGCAUUACUUUUUAGUCUGAAAAAAUGCUCUGAAUCCCUUCAGGUAAAUCCCAGCGUAUACGGGGACAGACAGACUCGAUUUUUCGUAUACUGGACUGUAAGCUGGCAUGAAUCAUAAAUUAGUUUUCAUAUGAGUAAUUCCACUAGAUUUGAUAUGAUUUCUGAUGUUCCUGCAGGUUGAUGGUUCAAAGAAAACUGGUUGCUUUGAUCUCACUUGUCCUGGAUUUGUUCAGACUAGCCAUGAAAUUGCUCUUGGUGCAGCCAUCUAUCCAAUCUCUGUUCCUAAUGGGCUUCCAUAUCAAAUAAUAGUCUACAUCUACAAGGUCAGGUCAAUAAUUUAACAACAUAACGUACCUAACCGAUAGUUUAGCAACAUAACAUGUCAACAUUACUACUUGUAACACGAUAAUAGGUUUUCUUCUCGUAUCUUCGAUUGAAUUUCUUUCUGUUUUUGUCUCCAAAUAUAGGAUCCGGUAACAAGCAAUUGGUGGGUGCAAUAUGGGGAGAAAAUUAACGUCGGUUAUUGGCCGCCGGAGCUGUUUGUUGCACUGAGCUACCAUGCAACGAGUGCUGAAUGGGGAGGUGAAGUUUAUAGCUCAAGAGUGGGAACAACUCCUCACACAAAAACAGAUAUGGGCAGUGGACACUUUGCUGAUUCUGUUUGGGGGACUUCAGGCGCCAUAAGAAGAAUCCGAAUACAUGAGAAUUCACCUGGGCUGAAAUUCCCUGAUAUAGUUACUACUUUGAUGGAUGAGUUCAACUGUUAUAAUGUUAGGUAUCUGUCAGAUUAUGUUGAAGAUCCUGAGUUCUAUUAUGGAGGGCCUGGCAGAAAUUAUAUGUGCCCUUAAGCUUAGCUUAGCUUUGCUAGGACUUGUUUAAGACCCAUUAGAAUGGGUAAUUAUGUCGUUUUAAACUUUCAUUUAUUUUUCCAAUAUAAACUAUAAAAACCCAAAACUCUUAUCCUCAAAAUAACGUAGUUUUGGACAUAAACACCAAAAACACAGAUGAUUCUAUUUGUGAGAAUGUGAAGGUAAAGAGUCCCACAUUGGAAAGUUGAGAAACCUAGCAAGGGCUUAUAAGGAGUUGGGUUACUCCCCCCAUUGCCAAUUGGUUUUGGGGUAGAACCUCAACUUCCUUCAUGGUAUCAGAGCAAGGCUUCACAUGUUGAGCCCAACAGCCACACGUGCUCCCACGUCACCCAAUAUGUGUUGUCCACGUGUUAGGCUUGAAAGUUCGCCACACGUGCGGGGGCGUGUUGAGAGUGUUUGUCCCACAUUGAAAUGUUAAGGGACCUAGCCUGGGUUUAUAAGGAGUUGGGCAACUCCCCCCAUUGCCAAUUGGUUUUGGGGUGGAACCUCAACUUCCUUCAUGGUAUCAGAGCAAGGCUUCACGUGUUGGGCCCAACGGCCACACGUGCUCCCACGUCACCCAAUAUGUGUUGUCCACGUGUUAGGCUUGAAAGUUCGCCACACGUGCGGGGGCGUGUUGAGAGUGUCACGUGCUCCACGUCACCCAAAAUGUGUUGUCCACGUGUUAGGCUUGAAAAUUCGCCACACGUGCGGGGACGUGUGAGAAUGUGAAGGUAAAGAGUCCCACAUUGGAAAGUUGAGAAACCUAGCAAGGGCUUAUAAGGAGUUGGGUUACUCCCCCCAUUGCCAAUUGGUUUUGGGGUGGAACCUCAACUUCCUUCACUAUUUCAUCCCAAAAAAGAAAAGCCUUAUGGAGUGGAAAUCUCCUCAUUAAUUGGUAAAAUUUUGCGUUAGUUACUUACCAUCUUCAAUUUGACCGAAGUUCUAUCCAAAGGUUGCACAAUAUUUGAAUUUAGAUUUAGAGAGAAGUGACGUUUUUGGUGUAUUGGCGUCGAUUAUGUAUACAUUAACAAGUUCAAUUUUGCACAAAGGACUUGGAAUUUUUUUAUUUUUUUUAUAAAUAAUAAAUCAAGAAAAAUAUUUGGUUCCUUGUUAAAAAUGAGUCAUUCAUUUUCAGAAUGCAAAUUAAUUUGACAUGAGUGUAAAUUUUUUAACAUGCUUUUAAUAAGUUAUUUAUGUAUAAGUGUUAAGUUGCGAUUUGAAUGUAAGGAGAAACGACUCAGUUAGUUCUAUAAAUCAAACUAGAAGAAACACAUACACAUCCGUGUGUAAUUUGCUAAUUUGUAAUACCGGUUGCAAAGAGAAAGUAGGUAUGGUGGAAGCCUUAAAAGUCCCCCAAUACAUUGUAUAGCCGUGCGGCUCUACUUUUAAAAUUUUCUAUUUAUAAAGUAUAGCCGGCUAUACCCUAAAAACGCCGUGAAAGCAAAUUCUUUCUUUAUAUAUACUAGCCUCUCUACACGCGCUUCCGCGCAUGCGAGAGGUUUUUUUAAAAAAAAUUUUAAAUUUAUUUUAGAAUUAAAAAAGAUAAUAGAUAUUUGUGUUCCAUAAAAAUAGGAUCCAUUAUCUGAAUUUUCUUUUUUUUUUAAUUUUUUUAAUGCGAAAAAUUGUGAAUUUACCAUAUUAUCCUCAUUUAAUUAAUAAUUUCAAUUCUUAAUGUUUGCAUUAACCAAGGGUAUUUUCUGGUAUUUUGAAUGUUUCACCAUUCUCUGCCUUUUGCUUUAUAUAUAUAGAUAGAUAUAUACAUUACCGCCCAAUAGAUUUGUAAUUCAAAGCCGUGCGGCUAUACUAUUUUUUAUAAUAACAACCAUAGUAUAGCCGACCGGCUAUACCCUUUUUAUUAUAUAAAAAAAAUCCGAGUAUAAGUACCAUUUUUAAAAGAGGACCCACUGGAGCCUAGCGCCCCCUUUUGCCAUGUGUCAAAAAUAGUACAGCCGAGCGGCUAUACGCAAUUAAUUAUAAAAAAAUAAGUGUAGCCGAGCGGCUAUACUAUUUAUAAUAAAAAAGGGCCACCGCUUAACGAGCAUGGCCAAAGUAUAGCCGCGCGGCUAUACUCUAUAAAUAUAAUAUUCUGAAGGUAUAGCCGGUUGGCUAGACUCAUACUCGUUUGCCCGUAAUUUGUUUUUAAAAAGUAUAGCCGACCGGCUGGACUCGGCAUUUUCUUAAUUGUUUUUUAAAAAUAGUAUAGCCGAGCGGCUAUACCCGGGUUUUUAAUUUUAUUUUAGGGUUCAGGGUUUAGGGCGGCUAUACUCGUUUUCCCCUAAUUUUUUUAAGAAAUAGUAAAGCCGAGGGAAGGAAUCAAGCCAUAUUGUAGAAAUUUAACAAUCAUUAAUUCAUUGGCUAAAGAUUUGUGUAGCUAGGUUUAACCAAUUCUAAGGAAUUGUUUAAAUAUUCAACAGGAUACCAUCUUGAAUUUAACAUGUGACAAUUCAAAUAUUGAAUAAAAAUGUGAAAGUUGCAUGAUUGGAAGGUGAAUCAUGCAAAUUUUGCAGAUAUAUAUAGUUAUCAGAAAAUAUAUAUAGGUUUAGGAAGAUAACCCAAGCUCAUCUUAGAUUCUGAAAGGAAGAUGAACAAUCUCCAUUUUAUAAUUUUGGGUAUUUGAAUUACCUGAGAUUUAGUACAUAUCAGACAGAGUUUAGUUAACAAAAAAUGGGGAAAGGGUUGUCUGGUGGUGAAGUGAUUAGAUUAAGGGGGAUGAUGGUAAUUAUGGUGGGAGUGACAGUGACUCUAAUUAGAUGUGGGGUGCUUGUGGAGGGCAAUGUGUUCUCUAAACAGAAGAUUCUGGAAGUUGAAAGAAAAUUAACCCAACUUAGAAGGCCUGCAGUUAAAACCAUUCAGGUUUGAAUUGUCCAGAACUUGACAUAAGUUUUCUUCUCAUUGUAUUCAUUUAAUCAGCUCAUAUGAUUGCUUGUAGAGUGAGGAUGGUGAUAUCAUUGAUUGCAUUGACAUUUACAAGCAGCCAGCUUUUGACCAUCCUGCUCUCAGAAACCACACCAUCCAGGUCUCCCUUGUAUAAGUUCUAGUUGAAAGUAAACACAUUUUUCUUCUCUGUGACAUUAUAUAUUUACUGAUAAUCUAACAAAUGCUUUGAGUCUUUUUUCAGAUGGCACCAACAUAUGAUCUGACGAAGGAGACAAAGACAAUGACAAAAAUGGAUAGAUUGAAGAAAAGGAGUGAACAAUCUUCCGUGACAGCAAAGCAAACAUGGAAGAAAAGUGGAAGCUGUCCUCAAGGAACGAUCCCAGUCCGAAGAACUCGAAAAAAGGACCUGCUUAGAGCUAGCUCAGUUAAGGACUAUGGAAGAAAGAAGCACAGUACCCUGUCUCGUCAUGUUGCAGAGCCUAGUGACAACAAAUCUGUCUACCUUCUACGAGCAAACCACUCGGUACAUUAACUUCCCAUUUUCACAUUUUUAAUUGAUAAAUUAAUCACAUCUCAUGAAGAGGGGUUUUUUUUUUGUUGGUAAUUUGUGAUGUCCUCAGAAGGCAAUAUUGCUUACAGAAGGGUACAGUUAUACUGGAGCCAAAGGAGACAUAAAAGUUUGUGCCCCUUCUGUUGAGCUUGAUGAUGAAUAUACUACUUCUCAAGUUUGUCUCAUAAACGGUCCAAGUUUUGCCUUUGAGAGUGUUGAAUCUGGAUGGGCGGUAUAUUAACAUAAACCCUUUCACUUUCAUCUUGAUGCUACUUACUUCUGUUACAUUCUAUGUUCAUGGCAUAACUUUUAGUCCGAAAAAUUACUUGGAAUCCCUCUUUAGGUAAAUCCAAGCGUCUAUGGGGACAGAAAUACUCGAUUUUUCUUAUACUGGACUGUAAGUUGACGUGUUUCAUGACUUAGUUUUCAUGUGAGUAAUUCCACUAGACUUGAUGUGAUUUCUGAUGUUCCUGCAGGCUGAUGGUUCAAAGAAAACUGGUUGCUUUGAUCUUACCUGUCCUGGAUUUGUUCAGACUAGCCAUGAAAUUGCUCUUGGUGCAGCAAUUUAUCCAAUCUCUGCUCCUGAUGGGCUUCCAUAUGAGAUAAUUGUCUACAUCUUCAAGGUCAGCUCAACAGUUUAGUAACAUAACAUGUACAGUUUAGCAACAUAUAUAUCUGAUAUCUGAAAAAGACAAUGUAAUAUUAAGUGUUCUUCUCAUAUCUUCGAUUGAGUUUCUUUUUUAUUUGCUUCCAAAUUUAGGAUCCAGUAACAAGCAAUUGGUGGGUGCAAUACGGGGAGAGAAUUAACAUCGGUUAUUGGCCUCCGGAGCUGUUUUUUGCAUUGAGCUAUCAUGCAACAGGUGUUGAAUGGGGAGGUGAAGUCUAUAGCUCAAGAGUUGGAACUACUCCCCACACAAAAACAGAUAUGGGGAAUGGACGCUUUGCUAGUACUGCGGGAUUUUCAGGUGUCAUAACAAGAAUGAGAAUACAUGACAAUUCACCUGCACUGAAAAUCCCUGAAUGGGCUGAGACUUACAUGGACGAGUUCAAUUGCUAUGAUGCUAUCUAUGUUGAAGACUACGUUGAAGAUCCUGAGUUCUAUUAUGGAGGGCCUGGUAGAAAUUAUAAGUGCCCUUAAACUUAGCUUAGCUAGGAAUUGUUUAAGACAACACAAGUCGAUAAUACAAUUUCGUCCCGAAAGGGAGAACAUUUCCAAUUAUCAAUGUUUACCAAAAUGGCAUAUCAGCUUAAUUUCCAGGUUUCCAAAUGAGGUUUUUUUCUUGGUAGGUAACAUGGAAUCUGUGUUUGUAUGUAGUCGGUAUAGCAUAUCUUAGAAGAAAGUGAGACAGAAAGGUAACAGAGAUGUUAAGCAAAUGUCCACGAUUCACAAUAUGUGACUCUCUAAAUUAAAUGAAGGGACAAAAUGCUGCUAAUGGGAACAUCUUAAUUCACUGGAUAAAGAUAAAACCCGUUUUCUGUACAUGCAAUUAUGUCCAAAUAUUGCACCAAGACAAGAGUACUUAUUAUGUUUCUAUAUUUAAGAGAGGCGUGCAUGAACUGCACAUUUGACAUGUGGAUGAAGCCGCGAGGACUUGCAUCAUAUAUAUAAUAACACAUUAUCUUCUUUCUUUUCAACCAGACAUGCCUUCAUUUGGUUUCUCAAAGGUUAAUUUUACCACCUAAUUAUCCUGUUAAUUUUAUCUAUAGCUUGAUUGUAUCUCUCUGUGUGUACAAGAGUGUAAGUGAGACACAAAAAGAGAUUGAAGAUGGGGAAGAAGAGGGCUUUAAUGUUCUCGUUAGCAUUGGGAUUGUUUGUUUUUUGUGUUAGUGCAGCAGAACAUCACCAUGUGAAGGCUAAAACUAAACGAAUUUCUUUGGAAGUUCAUAAGAAGUUGAAGCUUUUGAAUAAGCGUGGCGUGAAGACUAUCAAGGUCUGAUUUUCUGCCAUUUUUAUUAGCUUUCUGACUAAUCACACUUUCACAGAAUUUUAUCUAUAUCAGAUCUGUUAUACAAUUUUCUUUCAGCAGUCUUCUCCAUUUCAAAAUUUAGCUCAACCCUUUGUGCUAUUGCCUCUGCUGUCUUAAAUUUCACAAUUUCUUCUUUGUUGUGCUACUGCUAUGACUUGGUAAGCUCAGAGGACUGACUGUAUGUUUUACCACUUGAUUAUUUGAUUUCUUGCAGAGUGAGGAUGGAGAUAUCAUUGACUGUGUUGACAUCUACAAACAGCCUGCUUUUGAUCAUCCGGCAUUGCGCAACCACAAAAUUCAGGUCGACUUUUAAACCUUUGUACAUUUGGAGAAUGUAUGAAACAAAAAAUAAAACAUUCUCCAAGUUUUAAAAACGUUUUAAAAACAAUCUCCAAGUUUUAAAAACGUUUUAAAAACAAUCAUGUUUUCUUCCAAAUGUUGAUAUAGUUGGUGUAUAAUAUUGCAGAUGAGACCCAGUAAUCAUGUACAAAAUGAUCAUAAUUCUUCUCAGCUGGUAUCUCAAAUUUGGCAAAGGAGCGGAAGCUGUCCAGACGGAACCAUUCCCAUUCGGAGAAUUCGAAAGCAAGAUUUAUUGAGAGCUACUUCACUUGAAAACUUUGGGAAGAAAAUGCCAGUGCAUUCUUCCUACUCCCCCACAGAUGACAAGGGCACUGUGUACAUCAACAGCACCCGAGUCGAACUCGGGCCUCAAGUCAAUCGUUCAGUAAGCAAACAUCGUGAAGAUUUAAUUAACAAAGUUUACUUUGAUCCUUGUCUAACUUGUGCAAAACUGUGUUUGCUAGGCUGCUAUCCUGUUAACUACUGGAUACAAUUACAUAGGUGCUCAAGGAGAUAUAAAUAUUUGGACUCCAAGAGUUGAAUCACCAGAUGAGUUCACUACUGCUCAAAUCUGGCUUAAGAAUGGACCUGGAGAGGCUUUUGAAAGUGUAGAAUCAGGCUGGGUGGUAAGUAGUAUAUUAUGGUAACUUCAUUUGGAAAAUAUUACUUUUCAACUAUCAGUUCCUCAAAAUCACUCCAUAUAUGUGUAUAUAACUGCUACUCUUUUUUGCUCCUCUUCGUUUGGCUUUGGACAGGUAAACCCAAAGGUAUAUGGUAAUGGAGCAACUCGACUUUUUGUAUAUUGGACUGUAAGUACUUCAUUACAAAAUGAUCAAAAGAACAGGAAAAUGUAGCAUAUAUUAUGUUUGCUCCAUCUGAAAUGUGCCUGCACUUAAUUCUUCUUUUUUUUUUUGGGUUUUUUCAGAAGGACUCAUACAAAUCAUCAGGCUGCUUUGAUCUCACCUGCCCAGGAUUUGUGCAAACCAACAAAGACAUAGCCCUUGGUAUGGUCCUUGGACCUGUAUCAUCUAAAAUGGGACCCCAAUAUCAAACCACCUUCAGCAUCACCAAGGUUUGAAAAUCUUAAUCACUUUUCGUGCAUUCAAAUCAUUUCCAUUGUUAGUCAACGGGAUUUAGCCCAGUGAAAAGGGCUUUGACUUGCAAACCAGUGGUCUCAAGUUCGAAUCCCCAUGGCACAUUGACAGUUGCAUGUGCGAGAAAAACCCAUCCCCUUCCUAAAUUUGACGCACAAAAAAUACAUUUCCAUUGUUGAACAAAAAUGUGAUGGUUUAAAACAUACGUUGUAGGAACCAAGCACAGGAAAUUGGUGGGUGCGUAUUGGCCAAAACGUUCCUGUGGGAUAUUUUCCUGGAGAGCUCUUCUAUUAUUUGACACGCGGUGCUGCAACAUUAGUUGAAUGGGGAGGAGAAGUGUUUAGCUCCAAGGUGAAGCAAAAUCAUCCACACACUGCAACAGGGAUGGGAAGUGGAGAUUUUGCAUCGGGCAAAUUGGGCAAUGCAUGCUAUGUGAAGCAAGUUAGGAUUAUAGAUUAUUCAAAGCAAUUGAAGUACCCAGAAUGGGUAGGCACUUAUUCAGAUGAAGAGUAUUGCUACUCUGCAUUGAACUACGCUCUGUCACUUGCUCAAGAACCUGUGUUCUACUUCGGCGGACCGGGUCGAAAUCCUCCUUAUUGUCCCUAAGUUGUUCAUAAUCUCAAAUGAGGACGCUUAAUUUCCAUAGUUUUUUCUUGAAAUAAUGUCCAAAUAUAUGAUGGCUUGAGCCAAUGUAGCAAGACUAUUUUAUAUUUGAAGCCUAUUGUUAUUGAUUUAUAUGUGAUCAGAAAUGGACUUAUAAUUUUGGUCCCAUUGUCUGCGAUCCUCUUGCAUUGCUCACUGGUUGUGCUUUCACAGAGAUACAUCUACAUAUAUGAGCAUAUAAAAGCCAAAUUACAAGAGAUUUAUCAACAUAAUUGGUCUAAUAGCCCUAUUAACUUUAUUGGCCUCCUCACAUUCUGAGGUUUCGAAUGAUUAGGUUUUUUUUUUCUUUCUUAUUUUAAAUUUGGUGAAUAAUUAAAAUGGAUUUUGAGUUUGGUAAUUAAGGUGAUCACUUGUUCAGUAUUGACAAAGCUUGGAUCGAAAGUAACAUAAAAGGACGGUACAAUUUCUGGAACUUGAUUUUCACUUUUUAGCUUGAACUUCCAGACAACAAUAUCAGAUAUUCAAAAAUGGACAAUUACUCCUAUUACCCAAAUAGUUGCUACCUAUGCCCAAUAACACAAUACAUGAGGGGAAAUAUCGCAUAUUCAGAUUACACUGCUCAGGUUGUGGUAUUCCAGAGGUAUACAAGAUAUACAUAUACGAAGAAUAUACAAUCACAAGAUCAAGAAAUAAGGAAAACCCCAUUACAGAAUAUCAUACCAAAAUGGCCAGGCCACACCAACUUCGAUGAGACCAAUAUCAUUUGCAAGCCAAUGAGAGAAAAUCAGCUAGAUCGAAUCAUGCUGUUUUCUCUCUUCUUGUAUAGAUUGGAAAAUACGAGCAGCUGAUGCAGUUGCAGUUCUUGGAUUGUGUGGCACAACUCUAAUCGCUCGUGUUGGCUGGCCUGAAUCAUGAGGUUGGGCAACUCCUUCUGGAAUUACCGGAGCCAUUGGAAAAAGUUGAAGAGCAUCACUUCCUUCAGCAUUUUGAUCUGUCCCCAAUCGUGCUGUGUCACCUGGACUAUUUGCAGUACUUCCUUGUAGCUCACUGUCGUUAGAUGCCUGAAACAUCAUGGCAUGAGGAAUAGCUCCACUUUUCUGGGAUGGCAUAUUGCAUGAGCUUUGAUGCUGCACAUUAGAGUUUGUUCCCCCUCCUGAUAACUGAUCGAUUUGACCAUGUGAACCAGGUCCGGCAAACCAAUGCAUUUGUUCAAUGCCUGAGCUUGGCAUGGCUGGAUUCAUAACGGACAUGCCAUAUGGAGGAAAGUAAGUAUGGCCUAAUGGAGGAGGGGCAGGAAGAACCCCCGUCCCUUGAUGAUGAUGAGAAGCUGGAACCCCAUAGUUUGGCUUAACAAAGUUACCCGUCAUGGGAGUUGAGUUGAAAGGUCCACAUCCUCCACAAACUGGUCCCAUAAAUCCAGGUCCAUGAUAUGGCUUAUAUACAAGUCCUUCAGAGGGAGACAUUACAGGAAUUAACAACUGGUGUCCAGGUGAUUGAUGGAAACACCAAGGACUGGCUUUAUUAUCAGUACCGACAGGUGUUGGCUGUGGGUUCCCUACAUAUGGCCCAUAAUUUGAAGUCUGACUACCAUUUUUCACAGAAGAAAGAGAUGUUUUCCCAACUGCAUUUUCUGCGGAACAUUCAAUUUUGUUGUUUGGCUUCUCAGGUUCAUGUUUGCGCUUUACAACACGUAGUAGUGGCUUUACAACAUACUCUGAUGAAAGUUUCUUUGCAGGAGAACCCCUUAAAGAAGAUGUGCCUAGGAAAGCAGUAUCUUCAAGCAAAAGAUUAGGAGACCCAGCAAUCAGUCGUUGGACCUGUUGAAAACAACUAGAAAGUUAAAAAUCUACCCUCCUGUAGUCCUUUUGGGGUUCAAAUAGCAUCAUUUAUUCUGUGUUUAUAUAUACAUUUUUUUUUUUGGGACUAUAUACACAUAUAUGUUUAUUUGCAUCUCAUAAUUGCAUUCCAAGAGAAGCAGAAUUACAGGGUCAGAGACUAUGUUAUAGUCUUACCUUAAUGAGCCUAUGCAACUCAAAUACUUGCACUGCAAACAAUCUUUGCUGACUGUAGAAAGUAACAGGGGUUGGAUCAAAAACAUAAUUAUACAACAUAUACCAAAUCAUAUGAAACUUGGCAAAACACAAAACCGAAACCAAUACAAGGAAAAAAAAAGAACUGAACAGAAAUGAAGGAUCAGGCACUUGAAAGAAUCAUUUAUACCAAAACAAUCCUUACUGUGUAAUAUAUUCCAUAUAAAACUCACAUUAUGUAAGAGAUAACAGCCAAAGGACUAGGUGCUUUAAUCACAAAAUAUCUGCUUACCCCAUGAAAAGCACCAUAGCCUAUUAACUCCACAUGACCACACCCCCAAGCUAAUCCUUAGACUUGAUAUUGAUCAGGAGUGCAGGCAAAUAUGACAUUUACCAAACAUGGGAAGAAAACAUCUUAAGGAUGGAUUCAGAAAAUUGCACAUCAGAAAAUAGUUAUAAACAAUGAGGCACAGAUCAGUAAAAUAAUAACAAAAAAUAAUAAUAAUAAUAAUAAUAGUGAAUACAAUAAAAAGGAAAGCUAAAUGCUAAAAACACUAUCUUCAGAGCAAUAAAAACGAAAGCUAAAUGCUAAAACAGAUUCGAAAACAUAGCAACUAUCUGCAAUAUAAAUCAAGAUGUCUGCAAAUCUCCUUUAUUUCACAUAAUUAGAGCUCCAAAUAUGUAAUAUUCAAUCAAAACCAUAUAAGAACUAUACAUUCAGUUGUAUGGAUGUCAUAAAUGAUCCUCGUUACAACAAAGUCGGACAGCAAGCGCAUAAUAGAGCUUUCUAAUUCACAUGUAAAUACUUACAGCUCUUUUCUUAUAGUACAGAAAGAAAGAAAAUACAAAACCUUCAAUAACGAAAAAAGAAUAUGUAAUGAUGAGAAGAAGCCAUAUAUAGGGGAAAUCUCAUAUUCUAUAAAGCAUAUAAAAAGAGUACGCAACCCCAACCCAACAAAAUCUUCCAACACAGGACAUCAAAGCACUACAUAAGAGAUGUAAUCCUCCUCACCACCAUGUCCACCACCAAUUCCACAAUGUCAAAUAUAGUCCAAGAUCCACAAAAUGUAGUCCCAAGGAUAAUCCUUCAUCACUUGUUCCCCUCCUUGCUCCCAGCCCUCAAGUGCCAUGAAGGGAAAAUUUUCCCAGUGGCCAAAAAACCAAAGCAUUACGAAACCGAGACAGGAAUACACCCAAAAGGCAGAUACAAAAGGGCAAUGAAUAAUGAGAUGAUCCGCUGUCUCGGAGGUCGCGUUGCACAAGAUAACUCUAUUAAGAUGUAUGUUUCCCUGCUUUAAGAUGAUCCAUAUCCACUGUUAAAAUGUUAUCGAGGGCCUUUUAACAAAAAGAAAUUCCACUUUAGAAGGGAUCCAGGGACUCUGCACUAUGAAAUAUCACCUCCCUCAAAGUCGCAUUUAAACAAAAUUCAGUCUAUAGUCCUAGUUGUUAUAUUUGAUGGUGUAAACGCUUAUGAAACAAAAAAUCCAAAGUACAAGUGUGGAAAUAUUAAAUAAAACAGAGGUAUUAUGAGACCAAAAUGCUUCACAAGGACAGCAAAACAUGUACUAUAUUUGGAAAAGGGUAAACUUCAAAUUAAGCACAAAGUAACAACUGAAUUGGAGCAGCUAUUGGAGAAAAUAGAGACUUACUUGACGAUUGCUUUUCUUGCCUUCCAGAAAUGUUUCUGACCUAUUAUUCCUACAACGUCAUCGGGAGAGAUAUCCAAGCCAGAUAUAGAAUCCACCAUGGAGGUCUCUGAGACAUCAUCACUUUUGUCUACAUGUCCCAUUUGAGGUGAAAUACACGUUCUAUCUCCACGGUAUUCACUGUCAUUAUCAAGCUCAUUGGGACCACCAGGAUCCUCCCCAGAAUAAGACAGACUUCUUUCCUGGAAAACAGCUCCCUUCUCUACAUCUCUUGUACACUCAACAAGACCAUCACCUUGCCCAGUGAUGUUUGGCUGUGAUCCAGAUCUAGACUCUUGUUGUAAGCAAGCAUCACUCUCAGAUAACCUGCUGAAUCUAGGAACAGGAUAGUCUGCAUACUCUUGAUUUGGAGAUGCACUUACUUCUUCUGCAGGCCCAUCAAUCUUUUGUCUAGUUGAUAUUUUUGUGGCAGAUUUUGCUGAAUGGUCCCUAACCGGGCCACUUACUUUUAUUAGAUCCUCUUCUCUUUCACUUCUCAAUUCUCGUCUCAAAUUGAGAGUAGUUGGGGAGCUUAAUUGUUUUGGAUCCUUCUUGCCCGUAUUUUUUAGUUUCACUGUAUGGCCAGAAUGAGAUGGGCCGAUUGGAGCAAGUUUUUCCUUAUCAAUACCAAUUUGAGUUUUACUAUGACAAAGACCCAUCCUUGAUUGAACAAAUACAGGCACCCUAAAAUCAUCCUCCUCUCCGACUUUCUUUCUUUGGUCGGGUUGUGUCAAGGGCGUGUUCUCAUUUGCUCCAUCAGAUUGACGAGCAUGAAACAUCUCAGCCUGACGACUAGGUGUAGAUGGAUGAACAUGAAGCGGAACAGGCAAAUUUCCUUCAGAACGACUUCCCUGAAAACAUAAAUUGCUCCAGAAAAAUCAGAUAUGAAAUAACCAAUUUUCCCUAUAGAAGCUUCCAAUACUAUUUCUGAAAACACUAUUGAUUUUCCCUUCUUAAAGUGCAGAUAUAGCAAUAUUGGUUAUAUUGGCAUUUUCUUUUCUGGACUGAACUAUAUUGGCAAUAAAACACAACACAUGUACAUAGUAGCAUGCAAAACUACUGGAUAUAGCAUAAAACAGAAUUUGUAGUUAGCUACUACAAAAACAGAAAACAAACCUAGUGAAAUCCAUAACCUAACUAAAGCUUAAAAGGAUAACACUUCAAAACUAAUCCUCAGUAAACCUUAAACGAGAAAGCUAGGCACAAAUUAUGAGUUUACCUGGCUCGAGAAAGCUGAGGGAACCACACUGCUAGUGUUAUUUGGAUUAAGAGGCAUCACCACAGGGUUGAACCUCUGAGAAGGGAUACUGAGCUGUUCAUAGAGCGCCAUCUUAUUCCUUGGAGGUGCUCUUGGCCCUCCUUUAUCUGCAUCAUUCACAUGGAGUCUUGGGAACAUAGGUCCCAUAACCUUUUCUUCGUUCCCUCUCUUCAUUUUCAACACCAACACCAAGUCCAAAAAUCUAUUCUUAUAUUAAAUUCCCAAAACCACCCUCAAAAACUCAAACUUGUUCAAACCCAUGCACCAAAAACAUCUCUUUUGUUGAAAUUGUGCUCGCUAAAACGAGAAUACCAAAAGGGAUCUAACAAAAUCCCAGCUAGCUAAAAGCCUUCUCCUUUCUCAUAAUAGAUCAAAUUCCAGAAAACCCAGAAGCAGACCAGGCUUCUAAAACCUGAACCGACAUAAACAGACUCAGCUUAUCACACCCGAAAAAACCAAGCUCCAAAUUAGGCAAGACCCAGAUGUCAAACACCAAAAGUAAACAGAUUCCCUUUGAAAAAACGAGAGAUUUCUUCACAACCCAGCUGGGAAAAAAGGGUACUUGAGAACUGAAACUGAUGGAGGAACGAACUAAAAGCGUGAAUUGUGGAAAAGAAGGGAUAGGAAUAAAAGAAGAGCCAAGAAAGAGAUUGGGAGUUGAGGGCUGAGAAAGGCUAAGGCUUAUUUUAGGGAUUCCGCAAAGGGAUCGUCUUCUUAGAAAAAGGAAAAGUGAAAAGUGCGGGGGUUGGUUGGGCCCUUGUUUGGGAUAGACCCAGAAGAAGACUAGAACCUCCUCUUAAGAAUAGAAAAAGACCAUAUGUUGCCAUUGCCAACUUGGAAUUAUCUUUUUCUCAAGACUACUCCUUCUGGUAUAAUAUAUUUUUGUCUGAACCAUGAUUAACUCUUUUUUUAACUACUUUAUCUGAACAUAAUUCAACUCAACGAGACGGAUGAGGCCAUUUUAGUUGAGAUCAUAGGAAAAUUGAAUAUACAUGGUACAAACCCAAUUACCUAUGGUAUUUUAUUCUCAAUUCUGAUAAGUGUCUAAUAUUCAUAUUUUUUAUCUCGGUCGCAUAUGAGUUACAUUCGAGUAAGUGAUGUAUGUGCAUGAUUAUAAGUCUUUUUAUUUAUGCAGACGUAUGAUUAUAAGUAAUUGAUGAAAUGAGUCUCACAAUUCACUAAUGUCUAACGAGACACAUGCACAAUGCACAAACGACUGACGAUAACAUUCUCUUAUAUCCUCUCAUUCCUUUUUUCUUUUCUAUUUUGUUAUAAUCUCUAUCUUGCCCUCAAGAUUGGCCAUUUGGGUCAAUUUUGCACUUUUUGAUCCUAGGUGUAGCUGGAACAUAAGGGACACGUGUUAGUAACUUUUUUGGAGAGUGGGAUCUAAAUGGUGAACAGCUUGACAAGCAACACAAAAAGUUUGAUUCGGUAAAAUCUGCAGUCGUCACACACAACCAAAACUAUUUUUAUCUGAUUCCAUAAGCAUUAAACCCAAUACUUUUGCCUUUUAUAAACAUUAAACCCCACAUGAUUUUCUCAGAUAACAUGGACAAUAUCACAAAAUGGUAGUAUAGAAUAUAGAAAAUAUAGCACUUUAGACUAGUUUUGGGUUAGGGGGAAUGUGGUCCACUCCUACUACAAGUAUAGAAGUAUUCAUUUUUCUUUGUCAAACCAAAAAAAGUUUCAAUUUUUCUCAAUUGGUUUGUCGAAAAUGAAAUCGGGUCGGGUUAUCCCCACGGGCUGUCGGCUUUCUCAAACUAAAAAUAAAAAUAUAAUAAAAGAAAUGGACAUAAUAUUUGGUGAAGUGGAGAGAGAACCAGGGUUAGUUGGUUUCAGAGGCAAAAUUAGAUUGGCGUGGAUGGUCCGAUCACAUGGCCUCUUUACCUCCUCCAUAUCAGACACACCUUCCUCUAUCGCCUGACCCAGGUGGGUCCUUUCAAUCAGAUCCAAUUCACGAAAGUUUUCAUUUUUAUUACAAGUUUCGUGUGCCUUUGAUUUUAUGUUCCCUUCGGGGUUUGCUCAUUUGCUUGCUGGGAAAAAUGUGGGAAAGAAAAAAGUAUAUGCAAAAUGUUGAAUCUUUGAUGAUCGAUUUACAUAUAUGCGUGACCCCAAAUGAUUUUGAAGUGGGUUUAUGAAUUUGAACUAAAAAAUAUUUCCUUCUUUUUUUUUCUUUAAUUUUCUGGAGCACCCAUUAACCUGUAAAUUUGAGCUAUUUUGUGUGUAUUGCAGGUGAGAAACCCCUAAAUUCUGAACCCCAGUUGCCGCUGGUUCCUAUUCAUGUAGUCACUCGUGCAUCUCAGCUUCCUGCCGAGUUCCUGGAGCCAUCAGCUGAAAGGCAAUUGGUAAUUGGCUUUGAUUGUGAGGGAGUUGACUUGUGCCGUCAUGGAACACUCUGUAUCAUGCAGGUAUGUAGAGUUUUACUUACUCUGUACUCUUAUGAAUAUUUGUUCCACUUCAAAUUUCGUUCCAAUCAACCUCAUUUAGUAGAUGCGUGCCUAAUCCAAACAAGGACAUAUGGGUUGCUACUAAACUACCACAAACAAAAGAAUUAAUAAAAAAAGAAAAGCAGUUAUUUGCAUCCCAAAUUGGUUGUUGAUUGGUUUCUGAUUGAAUUUCAGCCAUUUGCUUGUAUUCCCUUGCAGCUAAAGAAAAUAACGAGAGUAUCUUACUUAUAGGUCUUCUUUAUUGUGAAUUUUCUGCUACUCAUAUCCCUGGUUCUCGUUCUUGUUUUCUUUCUGUCAGCUUGCAUUUCCAGAUGCUAUAUAUCUGGUUGAUGCCAUUCAGGGAGGGGCUAUGCUUAUCCAAGCCUGUAAGCCUGCACUUGAGUCUAGCUACAUCACCAAAGUUAUUCACGACUGCAAACGAGAUAGCGAGGUCUCUGAUUGGUUUUAUUUGCAUCCCAUCAUGUACCUUCUUGUAAUAUGACAUUUCAUUCCCAUGAUUGAAUUUUUUCCUAUUUUAUAGGCCUUGUAUUUUCAGUUUGGCAUCAAGUUGAACAAUGUUGUAGAUACUCAGGUGAGCAUCCUUUAGCACUGGCUUUAACUUUUCAAUGGAUUGUUUUUUUAAGAGAAACGUUGAUUUAUAAGAUAAUUUUGAAUUCUUUCAAUGGAUUGUUGUUUUAAGAGAAACGUAUAAUGGUAGUUAAAGAAGUAAUAUAAUUGAGAUGGAGAAAAUACUCAUAUGCUAAGUGAUUUGAAAUUUCCCUUUUGGUAUUCAGAUUGCCUAUUCGCUGAUAGAGGAACAAGAAGGGAGGAAAAGAUUGCUGGAUGAUUAUAUAUCAUUUGUGGGCCUCCUUGCUGAUCCACGCUAUUGUGGUAUUAUAUAUUUCGUGGUAUCCAUUUGAAGUUUCUGUUUCUGAUCAUAUUUGAUUAUGCUUUUGGAUUACAUUGAUUUUAUGAAAUUAAAUGAUGCUUUUAUUUUUCUAAGAGUUUCGAAUUAAUAUUAACGGGGAAUUUAUUUGAAAGAUCAUUCUUGAAGUACUGCCUCCAAGUAUUUUACGUUAGCUUAUUCCAUACCAGAAGUUUUCUGGAUGACAAAAUAAAAAUAGACAUGAGGGCAUGGUGCGUUGGAUUAUUAAGUUUUGAUCUUCACAUAUGGCUUCAGUUUUCACCGUAAGAGUUUGAAUGCAGGAAUAUCUUAUCUUGAGAAGGAAGAAGUUCGAUUCCUCCUUAGGCAGGUUAGUGCCAACAUCCUAAGAAUUUUUCUGGAUUUUUUUCGUUUUCUUAUUCUCUAUGUUUAGAUUUUCCAUAUAACUCAGUUUGUUACUAGUCUUCUUAUUGUUAUCUGAUACUAUACUAGAUUUCUAAUAAAAUAUAUUGAAGGUUUAAGUCAGUAUGGUGACUGGGAUGUGAUAAUGAGAUUACAGUCCAAUGAACAAUAGGUUUAGAAUCACUCUACAGUGGUUUUAAACUUGAGGUUAUCAACAGAGCAUUAGCCUUAUAACUUAAAUUUGUCUAUUUUGUUGAUUCAUAUUUGCUUUACACUUAGCAAAGGACUUUAGAUAAAUUUGCUUCUAGACCUGUAGUUUUACCAGUGCAGCCACAGUAUUGUUUGGGACUAGGAUCUUCUGUCAAAUGACAUUUAUUUUAUAUGUAAUGUACAGGACCCCAACUUUUGGACAUACAGACCUUUAUCUGAACAGAUGGUCCGUGCAGCUGCAGAUGAUGUCCGCUUUCUUCUGUAUAUCUAUUACAAGAUGAUGGAGAAAUUGAAUCAACAGUCAUUAUGGUAUCUUGCAGUUCGAGGUGCUCUCUAUUGCAGAUGUUUUUGCAUCAACGACAACAAUUUUGCAGACUGGCCACCUCUCCCCCCUAUUCCAGGUAUCGAAUCCUCCCUCACAACUAUACCAAGACUUCAAAAUGAGAUGAAAUAUUUUGCCUUCAUAUAAAUACGUUCUCAUAUGAAUACAAGCUUAAAGCUAUUAUGUCUGAGGCUGAUGUUCGUAAUUCGGCUCCAAUUGAUUCUGCCACUAAGCAUUAUGUGCAUGUCAUCCAUUAAUGUCCUCAUUGCUAAUUUUUGAUAGAAUUAUGUGCAUGUCAUCCAUUAGUAGAAUCUCUAGCCUCGUAAACUUACUACGGAUACCGUUUUAUGUAUGACAUUAGACCAUAGUGUUUCCCUAAUGUACUUGAGAGCAUACGGUUUUGUUGGAAUGUGCAGCAAAGCACUUUAGAGUGUACAUUUAAUUGAAUACUAAUUGCAUUUCAAAAAAACUUGAAUACUAAUUCAGAUGUUAUUUCUUCUAGCAGAUAACCUAAUAGUGGAUGGCAAUGCUCCGGAGGAAGAAAUCCUUUCAGUGCUUGAUGUUCCUCCAGGAAAGAUGGGACGUGUUAUCGGGAGAAGAGGAGCUUCCAUUUUGUCAAUAAAGGAAUCUUGCAAGUACCAUUCUAUCUCUAUCUCUGCAUGUUUCGGUAGUUUGUGCUCCAUUUUUCUCUCCAUCUCCCCCCACUUAUUAUUACUUCAAUGGUACAAUUUUACAGUGCGGAAAUUCUCAUUGGAGGUGAUAAGGGCCCACCCGAUAAGGUCAGUCCAUUGCAUUUAUAUAACAGUUUCAAAGUAGGCGUAAAAUUAAUCCAAUUUUUUUUUUUUAAAUGAUUUAAUCAUCAAAGCAAAAAACAACUGGAAUUUGGAAAAGUUUCAAAUUCUUUUGUAAAUUUUAUUUGGUUUUGAUGUAGGUGUUCAUCAUAGGACCAGUGAAGCAAGUGAGGAAAGCAGAAGCCAUGUUAAGGGGGAAGAUGAUGGACGUGUACUACUAGAAACAUAUCAUGUUGUCGUCUUCGCCCCUUUCUUUAAAAAUAAAUAAAUAAAAGAAUUCUAAGAAAUUGGGCAUCUUUUCUUUUUCUUCUUUCCGUGCUCUUUUUCUUUUCUUUCGGUACAGAACAGAACCCGUCAUCUAUUCAAAUUGUUCUGUUUAUGAAACGACAUCCUGUUGUGCAAAUAAAUUAUAUAAUUGUCAAACAAAAGGACAAAGUAAAAAAAAAAAAAAAAAAAUCUGUCGUGGCUGAGACAUUGGCAAAAUUAAACGUUUAAUAUACAAAUAAAAUCAUAGUCAUCUAUUGAUAUCUAGAAUAAUUUUUUUGGACCGACUAUGUUAAUUGCCACCACAUUGUUCAAAAGACUGGAGGAUUAAUUUAAUCACGAAGCUGUUUGCAAUCCACUGGAAUUUAUAAAUAAAAAGUGUCGCAAUCAUCUUCACUCACGAUCAAUACAAUCCUCAAUACCACAAUAUCCAUUGACGGAUGUAUGAACAAACUAAGCACACCAAAAGAAAGGACUUUCUCUUCAAUAUUUUGGCCGAGUAGGCAAAAGAAUAUGUAGACGGAAAAAAUGGCAGAAAUAACAAAAUUACUUUUGGAAACCACCGUAUUGGUAUUGUUGGCCGCCGCCACCACUGAGACUUGAGAAGAUGUCAUCGCCUCCCAUUCCCGGCGAUGAUGGGAACCCAGAUUUUCCAAGACCAGUCCCGGAACCCAUUGCUCUACCCAUGUAAUACGAAGUUGGGGGCCCUUUCUCCCUUUCAUCUGAUCCGUCAGUCAAUCCACCCACAAUCCCUACAUCCGCCAGAUUUACCUUCUUGGCUGCAAGUACAUGAAGUGAAGAGGGGAUUACAACAGCAGCCUAAACAUGUGAUUCGAAAUGUCAACAUACAUAGUCUCUGCUCAAACAAUUAUAUAGGCAUACAUUACCCGGACAAUUUUUCUAAAUCUCAACUCACACCUUGAACAUUAAGCAAAAUUUACUUUCAUGUACACACAUAUAAAUUGUGCUCAUGAAAGGCAAAAUGCUAGUUGAAAUGGUUGAACUUACGAGCAGAUAUAUUAAGAUCAAUCAGUCCACGGCUAAGUGAGUCGGCCCAAAUGCCAGAUUUCACCUGGAAAUCCUUCUUGGGUGGACCAUUCAGGUCUGCUGAAGAUUUUUUACCCAAAUUAGUGUCGCUGCCAUCAUUGACAGAACUUUGGGAAGGUUCUGAAGAUGUUGAAUCAGACUGAGAGGUGAAGGCCCCAAAAAUAUCAGAUUCACCAAAAUUGUGAAGUGGAACAGUGGCAAAG
rnacentral:lncRNA from 1 species